UUACUUUUAUCUGCCACCAAGGAUACAUUCAGUUUAUUAAACUAGUCUAUAGUUCAAUUUCAUUUUUCUACAUUACAAGUCUUCGCUCGAUCUUCUCGCUCAUUCACAUAUUGAAUGACAUUUCAUCCGGAUACCGAUCAGCUUGAUCUUUAUGGGAUCCUUAAGUUCUUCUAACAUCGUACACUAAAAAUGUUUUUUCAUUUAAAGCAGGUGUGAGCAUUCAAUUGCCCAGCAAGUCAUAGCAGUUGAACAAACAACUUCAAGAAUUUAAACAUUCUUUUAAGACUUCAAUAACCGAACAAAGGUUAUGAAGCAACUUGAAUAAUAGGAAUAAUCUCGAUUCCUAUCAUUUUGAGAAAUAUAAUAUUGUUUUUUCUUUGGUUUAUAAAUAUACUUCUAAUUUCGUAAUAGAUGGAAUGUGUGUUUUUCUUCUUCAUUUAACUUAAUUUUGUUACUUGUCUGAGUAAGUGAAGAAUUUAAAUCAUUAAAUAGAAAUUAUUUGUACAACUUAGCAUCAACAGAUUGUGUAUUAAAACCAAGGCGUUGUCCACUUGUUUGAGCAAACUCCUUAAAAGAAUUAGGUGUACCACCACAUCAAUCCAACUAGACUUUCAUCGAAAUCCAAUAGAACAAUAACUCAAAAUAAAGAUUAUUGAAAAUCAUGUCUAGAAAAUGAUUGAUUAGGGCUAAUUCUGUAUUUUUACUUUUGAAUGCACAUUUUUCCUAUAUAUACCUACCCAAAUUAUCAACUGGUUCACAAAAAUGGCAAUGCUAAAUGAUCCCAGCAGCCUCAAAGUGUUCAUUGAAGCUGUACAAACUGUAAUUCCAGCAAUACCAACUGAUCCAAGGAUAUCCCGCCAAGUGUCAAUCAAAAAAGACAUUAAUUCGGGCAUUUUCCAGAGGCGAUUUCAUGUGAUUUUAUACUACAAGAAGGCUUCCAAUGAGGAUUCUGGUUGGUUACUGGCAGGAUGGACUAAGGAGUCACUAGGGGUAGCGUUAUCGGAUCAGCCUAUAUUGGCUGGGAGGCUAAGAAGGGUGGAGGGUACUGGUGGUGGAGGACUAGAGAUUGUGCCUAAUGAUAGCGGUGUUAGAUUAAUCGAGGCGCGGAUUCCAAUAAACUUGGAGGAGUUUCUCAAUUUGAGGAACAAAGAAGAAGCAGAAAAUCAGCUAGUGUUUUGGGAGAGCAUUGAUGAACAAAAUCCUCAGUUUUCUCCACUAUAUUAUGUUCAGGCAAGUGACAUGUUAUUAUGUGUACUAGUUGUAGGUAGUUCACAAUUCUUUGUGGUCCUUGGUCCUCAUAAGGUUAGUUUUUGUGUGUGGAUUUUGUUUCAGUACUCGUGUCUAUGCAUGAAAUUUCUAAAAAUAAUUAAGGAGUCCAGCCUACUGCCUACUUGAAAUAAAGGUUCAUGAUCUCACGAAUUACAUCUGAAUAAAUUAAUAAAUCAGAAGAUAAAAGGCGUUGUUCAGUUGAGUUGAGUUGAAUAUAGACAAAACCAAAGCCUCAUAAUCUCAUUGACUAAAAUGUUGCAGGUGACGAACUUUAUAUGUGGUGGAUAUUCAAUUGGGAUAAGCUGCAGCCUUCUUCUAGCCGAUCCAAUGGUCAUGACAAGCUUCCUCAAGAAAUGGGCAAAUAUUCACAAUAAAAUUGUCACUAAAUUUGAAACUUCCAAAUUACCCAUAUUUUACCUACCUAAUCUCGGAAAAGCCUGCUCAACCCCCCCUUACCAAAACCACCCCGCCCCUACCAAAAACAUUGGCCAAACCUUCAUCUUCAAAGUUACUCAAAAAAACUUAAUUAUGGAUAAUAUUGAGAUGCGAAAGGCAGUUGCAAUGUCAUGCAUUGAAGAAGCGAAACGCAGGCUCCGUACAAAAAUUGCUUCAGAUUUUUAUUUAAUUAUGAAAGAACCCACUAAUGAUAUAAUUAAGGUAGAGAUUUGUGUGAAACAAGAGCCCUUUAACUAUAUAAUUGGGGACACUAGUACAAUUACAAGUUGGGAUGAUUAUGUAGGGGCUGAUGGAUUAAGUUUUACCAAGGGGUAUAAGCCUGCUGCCUGUGUAUCUUAUGGGAUUAAUUCACCAUUUGAUGAAGGCGGCCUUGUGAUGAUAAUUCCAUCUCCUGAUGUGGGCAUGUCUGUUAUUGUGACUGUUCCUAGUGAUAAUAAAUUGAUAUAGGAAGGUUGGGGUACUAUGUGUUUAGCAAAGAGAAAUAUUAUACUAGUUUCUGGCAGUUGUUGUAAUUGUCUCCUCUGGUUUCAUUUAUUGUUUGUGUAUAGUGUGCGAGACAAAUUCAUAAAAUCCGAAUCCUUUAAAAACAAUACAUCUUUAUUGCUCAAUCCUUUAAAAACAAUACACCUUUACUAGCAAAUAGCAAUACAAAAGCUGAGUAGUUUUUACUGCACAGUUACGCGUUCAAUAUUCAGUAACAAAAACAUAUUCUUUUAAGCCACAUCAUGUUCUGGGAGAACAGGAGAGUUUGCACGUUGUGUGGAAGGGCGGAUCCAACAUCUUAGAUCAGUCGGGUCAAAUUUGAAAUAAAUAAAUUCCCGUAAAAAAAAAUUAUAGUAAAAUAAAUUACAAAAAAAAUAAUGCCCAAAUAUUAUUUUUAGUAAUAUUUUUUGACUUUAUUACUUAAAAUUGUUAUAUGAUAGUCUCAUUUUUAUUAGUUACAAAAAUUCACAAGCAAUUUUAAAAAAUCUCAAAACAAUUGCUAAAUUUCUAAAAUUAUAAAUAAAAAAAAUACACCCUAUUGAAUUUUCUCUAAAAACUAGUGGGAAGAAUUAGGUCAAACAGGUAGAUUAGAAACAAAGAGACAAAGAGUAUUAUAGUGACCAAGGUAAUAUAGAAUAUGAAUUUUGAAGAAUUUAAUACUACCUUCAUUCCAAAAUUAGAUAUACAUUUUGACCUUUUAAAAUCAAUUUGUAAAAUCCUAAAACUCAAAUUUUAUAUAAGGUCGUUCAAAUUUUGAAAACAACAAAGAUAUAAUUAGUAGUGUUUUUAUAGUUAGUUUACAAUUAUUAUAUUUGUUGUAUUAAAACUAAAUAACAUUAUAUCAAUUUUGAAUUUUAGGAUUUUGCAAAUUGACUUUAAAAAGUCAAAAUGUAUUUAUCUCUAAUUUUGGAACGGAGAUAUUAUUUUUCAAUCUCAAUUUUAAAAUUUUCAUUAAACACACUAAAAUUUUACUCUCUUACAGCGGGGUCAAUUGACUCCACGACCCUUAAGCUAGAUUCGCCCAUGGUUGUGGGCGCAUACACAAGGUAUUAACACACACAUGUUUGGAACCUAACUUAACCCAAAAGCUUCAUCAAGAGUUAAAUUCCAUUAAGAAUUAAACAUCUUCUCUACAUUUUCUCUUCAAUCACCACAAAUCACCAAUUCUCAGAUAACCAGUCUCAUAAACCGAUUCUCAGCUAAAUUCAUCGAGAAUUCAACAUUAGAGUCCUUUGGGAAAACACCAAUCAUUGAUCUAGAAUUCACCAUCAUCAUGUGUCUUUUGAAGAGACUGAAAUUAAUUUUUGAACCACCAUAUCGUGUGUCUUUUGUUCGUUGCGUUCCCGUACACAAGGCAUUAACACACUGUUUGGAACCCAAUUUGACCCAAAAACUUAAGCGGUUAGUUCUUGGGUUCAUUCAUGUAUAUUAGUCGUUUAUGUGAGAUCCCAAAUUUUAUGAAAUAAAAGUAUUCAAUUUUUCUAUUUUGGUAAAUAGUUAAAUUGAUAAAAGUUUAAAGUUAAGGGUGAUAUUUAAAAAUUUUACAAAGUAAGAAAGUUGUUAUAAAAUAUUCGUUGUGUUGGGAAAUAUUCGUUUGGUCGGGGAAUAUUUGUUUUAACACGGAAUAUUCGUACGACGACACAUUCAUUGGUGAACCCCACAACGGAAGUAUUGUCGUAGUUAGAAAACGACAGAAAUAUCUUUUUAUAAAAAUAACGGUGAAACUUUUACCGUUAAACUUUUGAAUUACCCGGUGGUAAAAGUACAGUAAUACGCGUGGUUGCAUAGUAGCACACGGUAUUGAUUAUUAAUGCUUACGUAAGAAGUCACUCAGUUAUACUCAAUUAUUGUUACAGUAAUUGUUGCAUCAUAUCUCUCAUAUUAUUGAUUCAAUUAUUGUCACAGUAUCAUCUGUAUAAUAUGUUAUAUUAUUAAAUCAAUAAUUGAGACAACAAAGUUAUUCAUAUUAUUAUUUGCAAUAUUAACAAUGUCUAGAAGUUCUGUCAAUGAGAGGUUUGGUCACCUAAUUGCGCGCCAAUAAGGAGAAAUCCUUAUCAGAAAGCCCCAUCUUUCCUGGGAACGACCUGGUUGUUAAAUAUUGUGAGUUAUAAUAUUAAUGAUGAAUAAGUUCGUGUUGAUUAAAGAUGAAAUUGAUAGUUCCAUUAUGUUGGGAUUAUUAGUGUUAGUGGAAAUCGACAUAUAUUUUGAUAAUAAUUGAUGUCUGAAAGUUAUAUUGACCAAUUGGGUAAUUUACAAGAUAAAUGAGCAAUUAAUUACUAUUAAUUCACAUGAUUAUAACUAUUUGUUCACAUGUGUGUACUAUUGAUUCACAUUCAUNNNNNNNNNNNNNNNNNNNNNNNNNNNNNNNNNNNNNNNNNNNNNNNNNNNNNNNNNNNNNNNNNNNNNNNNNNNNNNNNNNNNNNNNNNNNNNNNNNNNUAUAAAUAGAAGCUCAUUCUUCCUUCAUUUCUCACCAAUUCACUAAAGCUAUAGAGCAAUUAUUAUAGAGAGAAAGAAGAAGAGAAGUUUGCUACCUCACUAUUCCAGUAUUCAGUCUUCUUUUGAGGUAAGGGGUAUUAUUUCUUUCGUAUUCAUGAAGAGAGCUUCUGUUAUUCCAUUUUUUAUUAUUAUGUUGGAAUAACCUGUCUAUGUGAAGUACCGCAUACAUGGUGAAAUUCUUCUAUUAUUCCAUUCUUUAUUAUUCUGUUGGAAUAUCCUGUCUGUGCGGAUUACGCUACACCUGGUUCCAUUCUUUAUUAUUCCGUUGGAAUAACCUGUCUGUGCGGUCUAUCGCAUGCCUGGUGAAUUUUGUUGUUAUUCCAUUCUUUAUUAUUAUGUUGGAAUAACCUGUCUAUGCGAAGUACCGCAUACAUGGUGAAAUUCUUCUAUUAUUCCAUUCUUUAUUAUUCUGUUGGGAUAACAUGUAUGUGCGGUCUAUCGCAUGCCUGGUGAAUUCUUCUAUUAUUCCAUUCUUUAUUAUUCUGUUGGAAUAACCUGUUUGUGCGGUCUAUCGCAUGCCUGGUGAAUUCUUCUGUUAUUCCAAUCUUUAUUAUUCUAUUCGAAUAACCUGUCUGUGCGGUCUAUCGCAUGCAUGGUGAAUUCUUCUGUUAUUCCAUUUUUAUUAUUCUGUUGGAAUAACCUGUCUAUGAGGAUUACCGAAUGCAUGGUGAAUGAUCCUUUGUAUUCAUUCCUUAUUAAAUUGUGAAAAUGAUCUGUCUACAUGGAUUACCGCAUGGCGGCCAAAAAUCCAUUUGCAGUUUCGUAUAUUCUAUUAUACUCGUAUGAGAUAUCAUUUCUGUUGUACUCGUCAUGGAAUAUCAUUUUCUUUGGUAUUUUACUUUUACGAGUUACUAUUUACCUAGUUACUAUUUACUCUAGUAUUAUUCACUCGGGUAUUCGGGGCACUUUUUGUGCCGGAGUACUAUUCAUGAGUUACUAUUCACGGGUUACUAUUCACCCGGUUACUAUUCAAUCUAGUAUUGUUUACUCGGGUAUUUGAGACACUUUUCAUGCCGGGGUACUAUUCACCCGAAAAAUAUAUUUCUUUUCUGUCCAAAUUAUUUUUGGUACAUGAAUAUUAUUCUUGAAUUUUUCUCUACAAAGCAGUAUCAUGUUGACAAUUUGGACGUUAUUGAUUUCUAGAUAAAUUAAAUUAUAAAUCUUUAAAAUUUAUCCUUGAACUUGUUUUAUUGAAUUAUUNNNNNNNNNNNNNNNNNNNNNNNNNNNNNNNNNNNNNNNNNNNNNNNNNNNNNNNNNNNNNNNNNNNNNNNNNNNNNNNNNNNNNNNNNNNNNNNNNNNNUUGUUGAUCUAAAACUUGUUGUCUAUUGUAUUCUAUCAGUUGUUAUACUGUUGAAGGCUAAGGAUAAUUUAUUCUGCAUUAUCUUAGUCAUAAUAUUUCUUACUGGGCUAGUUGAGCUCACCCUUUCUUUCAUUGUUCUCUUCAGAAAAUGAGAAUAUAGCUGGGAUGAGUCGGGGAAUGGAGUGAUGGUCCAGGAUAAAUGGCUUUAGUAGUCCUCACUAUUCUACGGAAUAAUGUGAUAAUAAUUGUAAUGAGGAUUCCAUUGAGUGUGGAUAUUGUCUAGAUGACAAUAUUCUUGUUUAAACUCUCAGCUAUGUUUUAUCGUAUUUUACAUGACUAUUGUAUAAUUAAGUUGUAUUUGAAUUUAUGUACCAUAUAUCUGGCGACUCGAGAUGGGUGAUGUAUACCUGUUUUGGGGGCGUCACAGUUGGUAUCAAAGCUUAGGGAUAUGAUCCCUGGCUGAGAUGUGAGGCAAGAACUUGGAGGGGAGAGACGGAGAAUUCAUUCGCUAGUAGGACCUACCUAAGUUUAUUUGGUAUUUAAUUGGUCGGUCAGAAUAUAGAGAUAAUAUGUGGCAUGUCAAUUAAUCCUUAUUUUGAAACUGUAUUCUAGAAUGAUAUCUGAAAUACAGGAGAUGAGAAAUGGGAAAAUCACGAUAAAGAGGAAAUAACCGGGAAGGUACAAUCCGAAAAGAAAGCAAGGUAUUCUCAUCUCUUCAAACUACCAGGUACGUAAAUUUCGAGGGCAAAAUUUCAUAAGGAGGGGAGAUUGUGAGAUCCCAAAUUUUAUUAAUAAAAGUAUUUAAUUUUUCUAUUUUGGUAAAUAGUUAAAUUGAUAAAAGUUUAAAGUCAAGGGUGAUAUUUGAAAAUUUUACAAAGUAAGCAAGUUGUUAUAAUAUAUUCGUUGUGUCGGGAAAUAUUCGUUUGGUCGGGGAAUAUUCUUUUUAACACGGAAUAUUCGUACGACGGCACAUUCAUUGGUGAAUCCCACAACGGAAGUAUUGUCGUAGUUAGAAAACGACAGAAAUAUCUUUUUAUAAAAAUAACGGUGAAAGUUUUACCGUUAAACUGUUGAACUACCCGGUGGUAAAAGUACAGUAAUACGCGUGGUUGAAUAGUAGCACACGGUAUUGAUUAUUGAUGCUUACGUAAGAAGUCACUCAGUUAUACUCAAUUAUUGCUACAGUAAUUGUUGCAUCAUAUCUCUCAUAUUAUUGAUUCAAUUAUUGUCACAGUAUCAUCUGUAUAAUAUGUUAUAUUAUUAAAUCAAUAAUUGAGACAACAAAGUUAUUCAUAUUAUUAUUUGCAAUAUUAACAAUGUCUAGAAGUUCUAUCAAUGAGAGCUUUGGUCACAUAAUUGCGCGCCAAUAAGGAGAAAUCCUUAUCGGAAAGCCCCUUCUUUCCUGGGAACGACCUGAAUCUUAAAUAUUAUGAAUUAUAAUAUUAAUGAUGAAUAAGUUCGUGUUGAUUAAAGAUGAAAUUGAUAGUUCCAUUGUGUUGGAAUUAUUAGUGUUAGUGAAAAUCGACAUUUAUUUCGAUAAUAAUUGAUGUUUGGAGGUUAUAUUGACCAAUCGGGUAAUUUACAGGAUAAAUGAGCAAUUAAUUGCUAUUAAUUCACAUGAUUAUAACUAUUUGUUCACAUGUGUGUACUAUUGAUUCACAUUCUUGUACUAUUAGGGGAGGUGGUGCAAAAUUUAUAAUACUUGCAAGACUAAGUUUAAAAUGGAGGUAUAGUUGAAGGUUCUAUACUGUAAUUCGUAUUUUCACAUGAUUAUAACUAUUGAUUCACAUGAUUGAACAGAUUCACAUUAUUUACUAUUAGGGGAGGUGGUCCAAGUUUGAUAAUACUUGCAGGACUAAAUUAAAAAUGAAGAAAAAGAGGAAGGUAUUAUACUGUAAUAUUUUGAGCCCCAAAACGUGCAAUUUUCGAAACUAUAUUUUCCUAUAAAUAGAAGCUCAUUCUUCCUUCAUUUCUCACCAAUUCACUAAAGCUAUAGAGUAAUUAUUAUAGAGAGAAAGAAGAAGAGAAGUUUGUUACCUCACUAUUCCAGUAUUCAGUCUUCUUUUGAGGUAAGUGGUAUUAUUUCUUUCGUAUUCAUGAAGAGAGCUUCUGUUAUUCCAUUCUUUAUUAUUCUGUUGGAAUAACCUGUCUGUGUGGUCUAUCGCAUGCCUGGUGAAUUCUUCUGUUAUUCCAUUCUUUAUUAUUCUAUUGGAAUAACCUGUCUGUGCAGUCUAUCGCAUGCCUGGUUAAUUCUUCUGUUAUUCCAUUCUUUAUUAUUCUGUUGGAAUAACAUGUCUGUACGGUGUAGACACUCGAAAUUUUUUGCACUCCUAUUCCGAACAUUGUAGGAGGGUAGAUUUGUCUUUUGGAGAUAACCCUGAAAGACAGCUUACAUCCAUGCCGGAUACUACCGGAACAUCAUCUCAACCCGGAACACAAACCGGGAACAUCAUCUCAACCCGGAACACACACCGGGUGUGUCAUUUCCAAUCUCUGAGAUAACCCCAAGAUAUGCAGAUCAAAAGACUGGCAACAACACCGAAGAGGACAGUCCUAUCUCGGCGAUAACACCGCGACAUUCAGUUCCAGUUCCAAAGACAACACUGGGAGUAGCAACCCCAUCCUUGGUGAUAGCCCCAAGGGAUGCCAUUGCAGUUCCGGCGAUAACCCCGAAAAUACUUGUUUCAAACUUGUGUGAUCAGCUUCAAUCCAGAUGACAGUGAGGCAUACAAACAAGCAGUCCAAUCUCAGAUGUAACCCUGAGUAAAGUCUAUUUUCCGCUUAAACCGGUGAUAGCCUCGGUGAGGAGUCACAACGUCAUCUGUCCGCGUCAACAAGAUGAUAUCGCGAUAUACCAACAAGUAGUCCAAUCUCAGCAGUAACCCUGAGCAACGUCAACUUUCAACUCAAACCGGCGAUAACCUCGACGAGGAGUCAAACGUCAUCUUGUUCCUUUAACAAAUGGCACGUCGUCUCAACACUUCAUACAUACAUACAACAAAUGUCCUACAAGAGCCGAAGAUUAACAAUCCCGAGUGACUAUUACGUGUGGCAGUACUUUGGAUAGAAUUUAAAGCUUGAAGACCACGGGCAUAGACCCCUCUUCCUGACUUCGUAUAACCUCUAAUCCAUGUCAUUACGUAACUCUUGACACAAGCUAUCCGAAGAAGUACAGAUAUACUUAGUUCGGAUGCUCGGAUUGAAGUUCUGCAAGUUCGAGCAGACAUUACAGUGCAUGACUACACGUACUACGAGACGACGGGACCCGCGAGGCUCAGAUCCACCAUGACCAGUCGCAGGUACAACUGCGGCUGCCGCAGGUGUACCUGCGGCCAUCCGUCUAUAUAUACAAGGCUUGGGUCAGCCAUUUGGGAAGAGAGAGAGAAGGAAAAAGGCGAGGAAGCCUUGUCCAUUUUACUCUGCAUACACAUCUUUUGAGUGUUUCCUCUUCUUUAAACACUAGUUAGCUCACAUAUAGCUAAUUUUUAACCGAUGGAAGCUGAGUGUUUAUCCAUUUAAAGUCUAAGAAGUCUACUUUGGCAGCCCACUGUAAGCCUUCUUAUAUUCUAUAAAGCCUCUUUCUCAUAUAUCACACACUAUUGUACACGUUGAUAGUCGUGUGAGUGUGUUUGCCCGGACUUCGGUCCGUAGUUUUCAUUUUUGUCUGUAUAUAUAUACUAAUAUAUGUAUAUAUUUCGUAUAUAUAGACUAACAUUAUCGAGUUAUGCCUCGAUUGAGCCUAGACUUCGGUCUAGAGCGUUUACUUGCGUAUAUAUAUAUAUAUAUAUAAACUGUGGUCAGACUCUGUCUGAUGAGCUUGGAUUUUACAUCCGGAGCGUUUAAUUGCUUUUGUAUAUAUAUAUUUAUAUAUAAUUGCUGUCAGACAUAUCUGAUGGGCCUGGAUUUUAUAUCCGGUGCGUUUACUCGCUUAUAUAUAUAUACACAUAUAUAUAAUUGCUGUCAGACAUAUCCGAUGAUCCUGGAUUUACAUCCGGUGCGUUUACUGCUUUUAUAUAUAUAUAUAUUUGUGCAUAUAUAUAUAUAUAUAUAUAUAUAUAUAUAUAUAUAUAUACAUUCCAGUCAGGCCUGGAGGUUCUUCCGUGGCUUUUUACAACUUUUUUACAUUUCGUCCUGCCUGGAGUUCACUUCGUGGCAGUUAAUCGCUUUUUACAGCUUUAUUUACAUUUUGUCCUGCCUGGAGUUUACUUCGUGGCAGUUGAUAGCAUUUACUGCUUUAUUUACAUGUCUGAUCCCCCAUGGAGUUGCUUUAUGGUGGUUGAUCAUGUAUAUAUAUAUAUAUAUAUAUAUUUAUCACUUUUAUAUAUAUAACUGCUUACUGCUUUCCAUAUAAAUUGCAGUAUCAUGUGAGCCUAGGAAUCAUGUGAUCAUAGGUUCAGUCUAUUGAACCUAGAUUCGGUUCCCAUGAUGGACAUUUUUUAGCUGUAAGCAGCUUGUACAUUAUUUUACAGUGUCUGAGUUUCCUUGGAUGGCUGCCAUGCCCAUAAGGAGUUCAGCACUGCUGUAUAUUAUUUUCUCAAGGAUGCUUCGCAUCUCGAAAAUAAAAGCAAACAAGCCGAACAUUCAAUAAAAUGGAAGUAUGAAAAGGUCUCAAUUCCUAUUGAGCACACGGUUUGAAAAACCUCUUUUACAAAACUUCAUUGCUAUAUCUUGGUUAAAACUGAAUUUUCCUAUAAAAUUCAAACCUUGUGUAUAUAGGUGCGAACGAGGCCUCGCACUACUUUCAAAUAAUUGCACAUUGAUCCACACACACACACACACACACACAUAUUCAUAUAACAAUUUCUUUGAAAAGUUGCGGUCACCGUGGUAACACGGAUGUCGGGGGGUGCCUAACACCUUCCCUCCGCAUAAUCAAGCCCCCGAACCCUUAAUGAAUCUCGGUUUCACAGACCCGUUUAGCAGUGUCAAAUCACUGGGUCAAUGUGCUAACAUUUUCAGUUGUGUUGGUGCAACCAAUUAAAUACACCAACUGGCGACUCUUAAAGUCAAUCGUCGACAUUAUACAUGUCGGACCUUUUUCACUUGUUUUUUCAAACAAAUCUCACAUUAACAUGAGAACACCAAAGAACAAGUAAUGAAAAGGGACACUCAAAAAUCCCGACAUCGACAUGCGGUCUAUCGCAUGCUUAGUGAAUUUUUCUGUUAUUCCAUUCUUUAUUAUUCUGUUGGAAUAACCUGUCUGUGCGGUCUAUCGCAUGCAUGAUGAAUUCUUCUGUUAUUCCAUUUUUAUUAUUCUGUUGGAAUAACCUGUCUAUGUGAAUUACUGAAUGCAUGGUGAAUGAUCCUUCGUAUUCAUUCCUUAUUAAAUUGUGAAAAUGAUCUGUCUACAUGGAUUACCACAUGGCGGGCGAAAAUCCAUUUGCAGUUUCGUAUAUUCUAUUAUACUCAUCAUUUUUGUUGUACUCGUCAUGGAAUAUCAUUUUCUUUGGUAUUUUUCUUUUACGAGUUACUAUUCACGGGUUACUAUUUACUCAGUUACUAUUUACUCUAAUAUUAUUCACUCGGGUAUUCGGGACACUUUUCGUGCCAGAGUACUAUUCAUGAGUUACUAUUCACGGGUUACUAUUUACCCGAUUACUAUUCAAUCUAGUAUUAUUUACUCAGGUAUUUGAGACACUUUUCAUGUCGGGGUACUAUUCACCCGAAAAAUAUAUUUCUUUUCUGUCCAAAUUAUUUUUAGUACAUGAAUAUUAUUCUUGAAUUUUACUCUACAAAGCAGUAUCAUGUUGACAAUUUGGAUGUUAUUGAUUUCUGGAUAAAUUAAAUUAUAAAUCUUUAAAAUUUAUCCUUGAACUUGUUUUAUUGAAUAAUUAUGUCAUUGUCAUCAUCCUCAUGCUUAAAUUGUGAUGAAAGUCAUCUUUGGCUUACGUGCAUAGAUGGACUUGGUAUGAUUAUGACCAGGGAUUAUUCGAUAUAAUCAUGACCGUAAUAUAACGAAUGAUGUGGUAAAAGUCCUCAUUGGCCUGUAGUUCAUUGAUGGACAGUUGUUGGUAUGAUUAUGACCAUGGAUUAUUCAGUAUAAUCAUGACCAUUGAUGAUUACAUGAAUAUCCUUGGCCGUAGUGCAGGGACGAUUCGAUUUUAUUUAUUAAGCUGAGUCUCAACGAUAAAGUUGAUGAAAUUUUUUUUAAAUCAUAGAAGAUAGUAGAUUUUAUGCUCUACUUGACUCUUCUAAUGGAUUGCUUAUUUCCGCUGCAGUUGUUGAUCUAAAACUUGUUGUCUAUUGUAUUCUAUCAGUUGUUAUACUGUUGAAGGCUAAGGAUAAUUUAUUCUGCAUUAUCUUAGUCAUAAUAUUUCUUACUGGGCUAGUUGAGCUCACCCUUUCUUUCAUUGUUCUCUUCAGGAAAUGAGAAUAUAGCUGGGACGAGUCGGGGAAUGGAGUGAUGGUCCAGGAUAAAUGGCUUUAGUAGUCCUCACUAUUCUACGGAAUAAUGUAAUAAUAAUUGUAAUGAGGACUCCAUUGAGUGUGGAUAUUGUCUAGAUGACAAUAUUCUUGUUUAAACUCUCAGCUAUGUUUUGUCGUAUUUUACACGACUGUUGUAUAAUUAAGUUGUAUUUGAAUUUAUGUACCAUAUAUCUGGUGACUCAAGAUAGGUGAUGUAUACCUGUUUUGGGGGCGUCACAAUUUACUCUUUUAUUAUUUCUUUGAUAGACUCUAACUCACUUGUGAUAUCCUAACACAUCAAACAUGAUUUAUAAUGAAUAUGAAUUUAUUUACUUUGUGAUUUGUGGAAUAUUAUAUUGAUUUUAUUUGAUUUAGUUACAAAUUGAAAACAUAGUGACCGAGUGUCUCAACAUCAUAAUUUUUUUUAUAUAUCUACUAAUUCUUUGUUUUACGAUAAAAGAUAUACUAUUUUCAAAUAAUUGUUUGAGAAAAAAAGUUCUCUAUAAAUUGACAAAUGUAAGUGUUGUAAACUUAUUAUAAUACUUUUAUACAUUAAGUUCUACUCUCAUAAUUUGGUCCCUAAAUUAAUUAGGCUUACCCAAAAUCAAUUUCCGACUGCAAUCGGCCGAAAAACGAUCUGAAUGACAACGCAGUUGGAGCCUAAUUGGGUUUAUGCGAUUUGACCGUAUAUACACUAACUUAUUUUUUUAAACAAAACUAACUUAAUAUCGUAUAUUACAAAAAAUAUAAAAUUAUACCAACUAAUGUUUCACAAAAAAUAAAAAAUUAAAAAAAAUCCAAAAUAAUACUAAUUCGUACCAUAUAUGUAUCAAAAUAAAUUAUCACAUUUAAAUUUUAAACUUUUAUAAAUUAAAAAAUAUAUAAAACAAAAUGAGUAUUUAUUUAAAUUAUAAAUAUAUAUAUAUAUAUAUAUAUAUUGUCAAAUUAUAAAAGUGAAUUUGUCAAGGCUAGUAUUUGAUAUUAUGUCUUUAAAAUAAUUAUGCCCUUUUGGUGCUCAGAGUUGAUAGCACUUGUCUCCCAGAAUACAAUGACUACGUAUACUAUAGUAGCACUCCAAAUAGUAUGCUCAAUGAACCAAAUAUAAUGCUCAGAACUCUAUCUCUAAAUGAACUAUGAAAUGAAUACUAGAAAACUAGAAAUGAACUAUGAAAUGCUUGGAUUAGAAUGAUCGAAGUGGCUGCCCCCUAGUCUAUUUAUAAGAGGGAAUAUUGACCCAUCGAUGGGUCUUUAACAGAAAGGACGAAUUCGUUCGGUCCAAAACAACAUAAUUUUUGUCUUAGCAGAAAAAAAACGACGUAGUUUUAGACUUGUCAGAAAGGGUGCGUCCGUUCAGGCAAAAACGACAUAGUUUUGGGGCGUCCGUUCAGGCAGAUAGCACUUCCCAAAAUGACGCGGUAUUGACAUGUCCGUUUGGAAGAUAAUACUUCCCAAAACGACACAGUUUUGAUAAUAGAACUAAAAUAAAAUAAAUUUUAAAUUUUGUCUAAAAGAUUAUAUACAAGGAGCCAAACCUACGAACCGCGAGCCUCGAAUAUGAGCCUGGCCCGGCCAGGCCUGCUGGUCGGUUGGCGCGCGUGUGGGUUCGAACCAAGUUUUGGCUAGGUCCUCUCCCUUCCACAAAAGUGGAGAGCCCUUGGGGCCCAAACCCAAGAGCAACUUUAUUGUAUAUAAACACAUUUAAUAUUUAGUUCUUAACCAAUGUGGGACUUAGCUUCCCACAAAUAUUUAUUAUCAUUUUCAAGGGUGAUUUUUGGGAGUUAAUUUUUCAUUCAUUAUUCCAUGGAUUUGAGCUUUCAAAUGCUUAAUUUUAAUCUACGCAUGGAGUAGAACACAUUGAUAUGUGAAUUCAUUUCCAUUUCAAUUUUUGCUCAAAUUAUAACAAUCCACCACAUGAAUGAAAUUGACUGCCAGCCUUAUGCAAAUAUUAUGUAGACUCUUAGAGAGAGAGAGAAUUGGAAAUCAUCUGUAUAAAGAGAGGUGAUUUUUGGGUUUGAACCUUCCCUUGUGAAAGACUAUCGGAUUUAUUGGUUGUCCAGUGAACGUGAUGUCUUGAACUAUCCAAUCGUUUGUGUACAUUGAGAAAAUAGUAAUUCACACCUAAUAUUUCUAGACAUUAUUUGGUUCUCAUGAUUUUGUUCAUUUCGGCCCCGAACAAUCUCGAAUUUAUGAGUGCUUUAGAGAAGUAUAAUCUUAUCCUUCUCAUAUAAUUGGCCCAGUUCAAACUCACAUAGGUGAUUCUUAAUAAGAGUAUUAUGUCAUACUCCACUUGAUGAGGACAUGACAUGCGUGAAUUCAAACAAGACUAAAGGGACGUGGGGAUCAAGCAAGGCUAGAACAAAGAGGUUCAAACAAGGUCUCAAUAGAUUGAUCCAAGAUGUUUGGGCUGAAGCUAACGCAAAAAAUCUAAAGAAGAGGCUAGUGAACAUGAGACACAAAUUUGGGUCAAUUUGAUACAAGCCUAAUUCUGAGUCCGCGAAUUAAAUAUUCAGCAAUUACUUCUCAAAAUUACCAUAUUAUUUAUACUCGUGGGCCUACAUGCAACAAUCAUUACACUACUGUUGUUAAUUGAAUUUGGUGCAGCAACAUUACUCUAGCUAAUUGAAUUUGGUGCAUUAAAUUCCUUUUACAAAUUGAAAUUGGAUAUCAGCCUUCUUAUUUCCUAAAUUGAUGUCAGCAUCCGUGUUACUUUCCUUUUUCCUACAUUCGGUAUUGUCCAACUUCAUGAAGGAAUUUCGGUGACUUCACGCGACAAUGACCUUCACGCGGCAAUGGAUUGCUUAUACAUGGCAAGUUGAUGUGGCAAAGAAUUUUUAUUUUAUUUGGAUUUUUAAUUCUUAAAUUCUAUUGUAAUUUGGAUUUCUUUUCCAAAUUGACUUCUAUUUCCUUAUAGCAAUUAGGGUUAUAGUUUAUAAAUUCCUAUUAGAAUUUAGAUUGUUUUGAGUAGUAUAAAUAGAGGUCCAAGUUGAUGUAAUCAAACACAUUAUUCAUUAUUCAAUAUAUUUGUGAGGUUAUUCUCUACUUUUGGUUCUUUGAAGAAUUCCUAAGUAUUUUCUUAGUUAUUUCUUUGAGAUUCAAUUUGACUUAUCACACAACAAUUCAUAGUUGUGUGUGGCGUCUUCUAUCGCAUCAAUCGUCGAUUGUACCGAGAUUACCGCUUCAAUAUAAGUAAGGGGUCAAGGUGUCGUUCGUGUCCAUUCAACGCAGAAUUUUGAACGCGAGCAAUUGUACCAAGAUUACCGUCUAUAUAUAGGCAAGGGGUUAAGGUGUUGCAAGCAAUUCAUCCAACAACUGUGCUAGAAACGAUCGGGGCGGCGACCACCUCACGCAAGCGUGUCGUGGAGUCUAUCAUUUGGUAUCAGAGCUAAGCCUUUCUAGCAAGUUACUUAUCUUUAAUUUUCUGUCGAAAUAUAUAUUAUAAAAAAAAGAAAAAAAAAGGAAAAAAAAAUUAUAUUCUAUUUUCAUUGUGCUAACCAAACUUGUAGCACACCAUCAAAUCAUCAAAUCAUCAAAUUCCAACCAAGAGUUCAUACCGUUCCAUCAUCAUCAAUUCUGAAACGAAGCUACAAUUUACAAAUCUGAAGCAUACAAGAGGAGUACAAGGCAAUCGAUCGGUGAUUUUGCGGUAUUCUGAUAGUCACAACAUCUAUAAUUUUGUUUCGUGAUAAGUAAUUUUGAAUUGAUUAGUAAAACCAAGAAUUUUGCUAGGGAAUUCAAUAAGAACCUAUUAGAGAGAAUAUUUGAGGUAAAAGGCUUAGUGGUGAGAUUAAUCGAGGGUAAAAGCCAAUUUAUUGAGAGUAUACACAAGUGAACCAUUGAUUCGAGCGAAACACGUAAGGGAGUGGUGAGGAAACUAUUUUCUAUUAACCCUUAUUUUGCAGGAAAUAUGUCUAGCUCGAAGGAUAAAUGAACUUAUGAGGAACAACCUUCGACAGCUGAAUUAAAAUUUUAGAUGGAAGCCAUGCAUAAAGAAUGGGAUCGAAGAUUGAGAAAGACUAUGGAGCAAAUGCAAGAACAAUUAGAAGAGAUGAGGGUGUCUGUGACGGAGCUAUCCCAAAACACUCAUGGGAUGCAUAACAAGAAGUGGGAACAACAAACUAGUGCAAGAAAGGAAGACCCUUACGGUGAGUACAGUAGUGCAGCGGAAGAUCGUGAAUCUAAUUUUUCGCAUCAAAGACCCGGAGGUGCUAGGGAAAGAGGAGAUUGGUACAGAGAACAUAGCAAUUUGGAUAGCAUAAAAAUGAUGAUUCUAGCUUUCCAAGGCACGGGUGAUCCUGAGGCUUAUUUGGAUUGGGUAACCAAGAUGGAGCGAAUCUUUGAUUGUCAUAAUUAUUCAGACCUUAAGAAAGUCAAACUGGUCGUUACGGAGUUUUCGGGAUAUGCAUUGAUAUGGUGGGAUCAAUUGACAGCUAAUUGGAGAAGGUGUGAAGAGCGGCCGAUUACAACUUGGGCGGAGAUGAAAGUUAUCAUGAAAAAGAGGUUUAUACCAGCAUACUAUCAACGGGAGAUCAUUCGUAGUUUACAAACUCAUAAACAGGGAAGUCAAAGUGUGGAUGAAUAUUACAGGGAGAUGGAAAUGUUGAAAGAUCGGGCUAAUGUGAUUGAGGAUAAUGAAACAGCGAUGGCUAGGUUCUCGGCAGGAUUGAACUUUGAACUGGGAGAUUGCAGACUUGGUUGAACGAUAACAUUAUUUGGAGUUAGAAGAACUGGUACUUAUGGCUACUAAGGUAGAGAAACAACUCAAGAGGCGAGGAGGACAACGAGGACAAUCUAAUGCUAGUUCAUCAUGGAGACCUAAUUUAGCAAAGCGAGAGGAAAAGACAGCUGCGUUCAAACCAAAGAUGGAACCUAAGCAAGGAUCGACUAGCCGAGAAACACAAGGUAAAACUGAAAAACCUUCUUUUAGUCAUAAUCGGGAUAUUGUAUGCUUUAAGUGUCAAGGCAGGGGACAUAUUUCUAGCCAAUGUCCAAAUCAGAGGAGAAUGUUGUUGCUUGACAAUGGAGAUGUGGAGACCGAGGGGGAAGAAAGCGACACUGAUUCUAUGCCACCAUUAGAGGAGAUAGGUGAGGAUGCGAUACAUGGUGAAAUUCUGGUUACAAGAAGAGCACUUAGUAUGCAAGUUAAGGAGGAGAGCAGUGAACAGCGGGAAAAUCUAUUCCAUACUCGAUGUCUUAUGAAUGCGAAAAUCUGUUGUGUAGUCAUAGAUGGAGGCAGCUGUACAAAUGUGGCAAGCACUAAGAUGGUGGAGAAAUUGGGGUUACCUACUACCAAACAUCCGCAUCCGUAUCGUUUGUAGUGGCUCAAUGGUAAUGCAGACAUUAAAGUAACCAAACAGGUGUUAGUUCCAUUUGCUAUUGGUCGGUAUGUUGAUGAGGUAUUGUGUGAUGUGGUGCCUAUGCAGGCGGGGCAUAUGUUAUUGGGUAGACCAUGGCAGUUCGAUAGAAGGGUUCAACAUGAUGGGUUUACCAAUGUAUAUUCCUUUGUUCAUGACAAUAAAAAGAUCUCUUUGUGUCCUUUGUCACCACAACAAGUACAUGAAGAUCAAAUUCAUUUGUAGAAAGAUUAUGUACAAAGAAAAGAGAGUGAAGAAAAGAAAAAUCAAGAAGAAAAAAAGAGAGAAAAACAAAUAUACUGGCAAAAAAGAGUGAUGUGAGAAGAGCUUUGAUUUCUAAAUAGCCAAUGAUUUUACUUCGGUAUAAAGAGGCUCUUUUGAAUACUAACGCUAAUGAUUCUUUGCCUAGUGUUGUUUCAUCUCUCUUAUAGGAAUUCAAAGAUGUAUUUCCCGAGGAGCGUCCUCAUGGACUACCACCUAUUCAGGGAAUUGAGCAUCAAAUUGAUUUUGUUCCCGGUGCGACGAUUCCAAACCGUCCAGCUUAUCGAAGUAAUCCUGAGGAGACGAAGGAGUUACAAAGGCAAGUUGACGAGCUGAUGGGGAAAGGGUUCGUAAGAGAAAGUAUGAGCUCGUGUGCAGUUUCGGUGAUUCUAGUGCCAAAAAAGGAUGGAAGAUGGAGGAUGUGCAUCGAUUGUCGAGCGGUAAAUAACAUUACGGUAAAAUAUCAACAUCCCAUUCCUCGUUUAGAUGACAUGUUAGAUGAAUUACAUGGGUCUUGCAUAUUUUCAAAAAUUGAUUUAAAAAGUGGGUAUCAUCAAAUUAGAAUGCAAGAGGGUGAUGAAUGGAAAAUGGCAUUUAAAACUAAAUAUGGUCUUUAUGAACGGUUAGUAUUACCUUUUAGUUUAACUAAUGCACCGAGCACUUUCAUUCAUUGGAAAAUUUGUCGUAGUUUAUUUUGAUGAUAUCUUGAUUUAUAGCAAAAACUUGGAAGAUCAUGCAUUGCAUUUAAAAUCUGUUUUAGAUGUACUUAAGAAAGAAAAGUUAUUUGCUAACAUGGAAAAAUGCACGUUUUGUUCGGAUAAAAUUGUUUUUCUUGGCUUUGUUGUGAGUUCACAAGGAGUCCAAGUUUAUGAGGAAAAAAUACGUGCGAAUUGGAUUGGCCGAGUCCAACCAAUGUGAGUCAAGUACGAAGCUUUCAUGGACUCGCGAGUUUCUACCGACGUUUUGUUCAGAAUUUCAGUGAGAUUACAACACCAUUGACCGAGGUCAUCAAGAAAAGUGUGGGCUUUAAGUGGGGUGAUGAACAGGAAAAAGCAUUUAAUUUGAUUAAGGAUAAAUUGACAAAUGCUCCUUUACUUAUUUUGCCUAACUUUGCUAAAACUUUUGAGAUUGAGUGUGAUGCUUCAGGUUUAGGGAUUGGAGCUGUGUUGAUGCAAGAAGGGAAACCAGUGGCGUAUUUUAGCGAAAAGUUGAGUGGGGCAGCUUUGAACUAUCCUACAUACGACAAAGAGAUGUACGCUUUGGUUAGAGCUUUAGAGACAUGGCAACAUUACUUGUGGCCUAAGGAGUUUGUGAUCCACACCGAUCAUGAAUCAUUGAAAUAUUUGAAGGGUCAACACAAGUUGAACAAAAGGCAUGCACGAUGGAUGGAAUUUAUCGAGACAUUUCCAUAUGUUAUUCGAUAUAAACAAGGUAAGGAGAACGUCGUUGCAGAUGCUUUGUCUUGCAUGUAUGUUUUGUUAAAUACUCUUGAUAUGAAAUUGCUUGGGUUUGAACGAAUUAAAGAGUUAUAUGAUAAUGACCUUGAUUUUGGCAAAGAGUUUAAAACUUGUGAAAAGAAUGUUGUGGGUAAAUACUUUAGAAUUGAUGGAUUCUUGUUUCGUGAAAAUAAACUAUGUAUUCCUGCAUGUUCUUUGCGUGAGUUAUUGGUUAGGGAAUCACAUGGGGGUGGUUUAAUGGGACAUUUUGGUGUAGAUAAAACUUUUGCUAUUUUAAAAGAACAUUUUUAUUGGCCUCAUAUGAAACGAGAUGUAGAAAGAAUAUGUGAUAGAUGUAUUACUUGUCGCCAAGCUAAAUCUCGUGUUCAACCCCAUGGAUUGUAUACACCAUUGCCUAUUCCUAAUGAACCUUGGAUUGAUCUUUCUAUGGACUUUGUGUUGGGUUUACCUAGGUCUAAGCGUGGUCAUGAUUCGAUAUUUGUGGUCGUAGAUAGAUUUUCAAAAAUGACACAUUUUAUUCCAUGUCAUAAAACUGAUGAUGCAUCUCAUGUUGCUGAUUUAUUCUUUAAGGAGAUUGUGUGUUUGCAUGGUAUGCCUAAAACUAUUGUUUCUGAUAGAGAUACAAAGUUCUUGAGUUACGUUUGGAAGACCUUGUGGUGUAAAUUGGGUACUAAACUGUUAUUUUCUACUACUUGUCAUCCACAAACCAAUGGUCAAACUGAAGUAGUAAAUAGGACUUUGUCGGCAUUGUUACGGGCUAUCAUUAAAAAGAAUAUCAAGCAAUGGGAAGAAUGUUUACCACAUGUUGAGUUUGUAUAUAACCGUUCUGUUCAUUCUGCUACUAAUUUUUCUCCAUUUGAAAUUGUAUAUGCUUUUAAUCCCUUGACACAGUUGGAUUUAUCACCAUUACCUGUUUCUGAAUAUACUAACAUGAAUGGAAAGAAAAAGGCUGAUCUUGUUAAGUAGAUUCAUGAAAAAGCAAGACUAAACAUUGAACGGAGGACGGAACAAUACAUUAAGCACGCCAACAAGGGACGACAUCAAGUGAUCUUUGAACCCAGAGAUUGGGUGUGGUUACAUAUGCGAAAAGAAAGAUUCCCCGUUCAAAGACGUUCGAAAUUGCUUCCGAGGGGAGAUGGUCAAUUUCAAGUUCUCGAGCGUAUCAAUGACAAUGCCUAUAAACUGGAUUUCCAAGUUGAGUAUAAUGUUAGUGCCACAUUUAACGUUACUGAUCUAAGUCCGUUUGAUGUAGGUGACGAUUUGAGGACAAAUCCUUUUCAAGAGGAGAGGAGUGAUGAGGACAUGACAUGCGUGAAUUCAAAAAAGACUAAAGGGACGUGGGGAUCAAGCAAGGCUAGAACAAAGAGGUUCAAAUAAGGUCUCAAUAAAUUGAUCCAAGAUGUUUGGGCUGAAGCUAACGCAAGAAAAUCUAAAGAAGAGGCUAGUGAGCAUGAGACUCAAAUUUGGGUCAAUUUGAUACAAGCCUAAUUCUGAGUCCGCGAAUUAAAUAUUCAACAAUUACUUCUCAAAAUUACCAUAUUAUUUAUACUCGUGGGCCUACAUGCAACAAUCAUUACACUACUGUUGUUAAUUGAAUUUGGUGCAGUAACAUUACUCUUGCUAAUUGAAUUUGGUGCAUUAGAUUCCUUUUACAAAUUGAAAUUGGAUAUCAGCCUUCUUAUUUCCUAAAUUGAUGUCAGCAUCCGUGUUACUUUCCUUUUUCCUACAUUCGGUAUUGUCCAACUUCAUGAAGGAAUUUCGGUGACUUCACGCGACAAUGACCUUCACGCGGCAAUGGAUUGCUUAUACACGGCAAGUUGACGUGGUGAAGAAUUUUUAUUUUAUUUGGAUUUUUAAUUUUUAAAUUCUAUUGUAAUUAGGAUUUCUUUUCCAAAUUGACUUCAAUUUCCUUAUAGCAAUUAGGGUUAUAGUUUAUAAAUUCCUAUUAGAAUUUAGAUUGUUUUGAGUAGUAUAAAUAGAGGUCCAAGUUGAUGUAAUCAAACACAUUAUUCAUUAUUCAAUAUAUUUGUGAGGUUAUUCUCUACUUUUUGUUCGUUGAAGAAUUCCUAAGUAUUUUCUUAGUUAUUUCUUUUAGAUUCAAUUUGACUUAUCAUACAACAAUUCAUAGUUGUGUGUGGCGUCUUCUACCGCAUCAAUCGUUGAUUGUACUGAGAUUACCGCUUCAAUAUAAGCGAGGGGUCAAGGUGUCGUUGGUGUCCAUUCAACGCAGAAUUCCGAACGCGAGUAAUUGUACCUAGAUUACCGUCUACAUAUAGGCGAGGGGUUAAGAUGUUGCAAGCAAUUCAUCCAACAACUGUGCUAGAAACGAUCGGGGCGGCGACCACCUCACGCAAGUGUGUCGUGGAGUCUAUCAUUUGGUAUCAGAGCUAAGCUUUUCUAGCAAGUUACUUAUCUUUAAUUUUCUGUCGAAAUAUAUAUUAUAAAAAAAGAAAAAAAAGAAAAAAAAAGGAAAAAAAAUUAUAUUCUAUUUUCAUUGUGUUAACCAAACUUGUAGCACACCAUCAAAUCAUCAAAUUCCAACCAAGAGUUCAUACCGUUCCAUCAUCACCAAUUCUGAAACGGAGCUACAAUUUACAAAUCUGAAGCAUACAAGAGGAGUACAAGGCAAUCGAUCGGUGAUUUUGUGGUAUUCUGAAAGUCACAAUAUCUAUAAUUUUGUUUCGUGAUAAGUAAUUUUGAAUUGAUUAGUAAAACCAAGAAUUUUGUUAGGGAAUUCAAUAAGAACCUAUUAGAGAGAAUAUUUGAGGUAAAAGGCUUAGUGGUGAGAUUAAUCGAGGGUAAAAGCCAAUAUAUUGAGAGUAUACACAAGUGAACCAUUGAUUCGAGCGAAACACGUAAGGGAGUGGUGAGGAAACUAUUUUCUAUUAACCCUUAUUUUGCAGGAAAUAUGUCUAGCUCGAAGGAUAAAGGAGCUUAUGAGGAACAACCUUCGACUGCCAAAUUAAAAUUUUAGAUGGAAGCCAUGCAUAAAGAAUGGGAUCGAAGAUUGAGAAAGACUAUGGAGAAAAUGCAAGAACAAUUAGAAGAGAUGAGGGUGUCUAUGACGGAGCUAUCCCAAAACACUCAUGGGAUGCAUAACAAGAAAAGGGAACAACAAACUGGCGCAAGAAAGGAAGACCCUUACGGUGAGUACAGUAGUGCAGCGAAAGAUCGUGAAUCUAAUUUUUCACAUUAAAGACCCGGAGGUGCUAGGGAAAGAGGAGGUUGGUACAGAGAAGAUAGCAAUUUGGAUAGCAUAAAAAUGAAGAUUCCAUCUUUCCAAGGCACGGGUGAUCCUGAGGCUUAUUUGGAUUGGGUAACAAAGAUGGAGCGAAUCUUUUACUGUCACAAUUAUUCAGACCUUAAGAAAGUCAAACUGGCCGUUACGGAGUUUUCGGGAUAUGCAUUGAUAUGGUGGGAUCAAUUGACAGCUAAUUGGAGAAGGUGUGAAGAGCGGCCGAUUACAACUUGGGCGGAGAUGAAAGUUAUCAUGAAAAAGAGGUUUGUACCAGCAUACUAUCAACGGGAGAUCAUUCGUAGUUUAUAAACUCAUAAACAGGGAAGUCAAAGUGUGGAUGAAUAUUACAGGGAGAUGGAAAUGUUGAAGGAUCGGGCUAAUGUGAUUGAGGAUAAUGAAACAGCGAUGGCUAGGUUCUCGACAGGAUUGAACUUUGAACUGGGAGAUUGCAGACUUGGUUGAACGAUAACAUUAUUUGGAGUUAGAAGAACUGGUACAUAUGGCUACUAAGAUAGAGAAACAACUCAAGAGGCGAGGAGGACAACAAGGAUAAUCUAAUGCUAGUUCAUCAUGGAGACCUAAUUUAACAAAGCGAGAGGAAAAGACAGCUGCGUUCAAACCAAAGGUGGAACCUAAGCAAGGAUCGACUAGCCGAGAAACACAAGGUAAAACUGAAAAACCUUCUUUUAGUCAUAAUCGGGAUAUUGUAUGCUUUAAGUGUCAAGGCAGGGGACAUAUUUCUAGCCAAUGUCCAAAUCAGAGGAGAAUGUUGUUGCUUGACAAUGGAGAUGUGGAGACCGAGGGGGAAGAAAGCGACACUGAUUCUAUGCCACCAUUAGAGGAGAUAGGUGAGGAUGCGAUACAUGGUGAAAUUCUGGUUACAAGAAGAGCACUUAGUAUGCAAGUUAAGGAGGAGAGCAGUGAACAGCGGGAAAAUCUAUUCCAUACUCGAUGUCUUAUGAAUGCGAAAAUCUGUUGUGUAGUCAUAGAUGGAGGCAGCUGUACAAAUGUGGCAAGCACUAAGAUGGUGGAGAAAUUGGGGUUACCUACUACCAAACAUCCGCANNNNNNNNNNNNNNNNNNNNNNNNNNNNNNNNNNNNNNNNNNNNNNNNNNNNNNNNNNNNNNNNNNNNNNNNNNNNNNNNNNNNNNNNNNNNNNNNNNNNNNNNNNNNNNNNNNNNNNNNNNNNNNNNNNNNNNNNNNNNNNNNNNNNNNNNNNNNNNNNNNNNNNNNNNNNNNNNNNNNNNNNNNNNNNNNNNNNNNNNNNNNNNNNNNNNNNNNNNNNNNNNNNNNNNNNNNNNNNNNNNNNNNNNNNNNNNNNNNNNNNNNNNNNNNNNNNNNNNNNNNNNNNNUUUAAAACUAAAUAUGGUCUUUAUGAAUGGUUAGUAUUACCUUUUGGUUUAACUAAUGCACCGAGCACUUUCAUGAGAUUAAUGAACCAUGUUUUGCGUCCAUUUAUUGGAAAAUUUGUCGUAGUUUAUUUUGAUGAUAUCUUGAUUUAUUGUAAAAUCUUGGAAGAUCAUGCAUUGCAUUUAAAAUCUGUUUUAGAUGUACUUAAGAAAGAAAAGUUAUUUGCUAACAUGGAAAAAUGCACGUUUUGUUCGGAUAGAAUUGUUUUUCUUGGCUUUGUUGUGAGUUCACAGGGAGUCCAAGUUUAUGACGAAAAAAUACGUGCGAUCCAGGAUUGGCCGAGUCCAACCAAUGUGAGUCAAGUACAAAGCUUUCAUGGACUCGCGAGUUUCUACCGACAUUUUGUUCGAAAUUUCAGUGAGAUUACAACACCAUUGACCGAGGUCAUCAAGAAAAAUGUCGGCUUUAAGUUGGGUGAUGAACAGGAAAAAGCAUUUAAUUUGAUUAAGGAUAAAUUGACAAAUGCUCCUUUAUUUAUUUUGCCUAACUUUGCUAAAACUUUUGAGAUUGAGUGUGAUGCUUCAGGUUUAGGGAUUGGAGCUGUGUUGAUGCAAGAAGGGAAACCAGUGGCGUAUUUUAACGAAAAGUUGAGUGGGCCAGCUUUGAACUAUCCUACAUACGACAAAGAGAUGUACGCUUUGGUUAGAGCUUUAGAGACAUGGCAACAUUACUUGUGGCCUAAGGAGUUUUUGAUCCACACCGAUCAUGAAUCAUUGAAAUAUUUGAAGGGUCAACACAAGUUGAACAAAAGACAUGCACGAUGGAUGGAAUUUAUCGAGACAUUUCCAUAUGUUAUUCGAUAUAAGCAAGGUAAGGAGAAUGUCGUUGCAAAUGCUUUAUCUCGCAGGUAUGUUUUGUUAAAUACUCUUGAUACUAAAUUGCUUGGGUUUGAACGAAUUAAAGAGUUAUAUGAUAAUGACCUUGAUUUCGGUGAAGAGUUUAAAACUUGUGAAAAGAAUGCUGUGGGUAAAUACUUUAGAAUUGAUGGAUUCUUGUUUCGAGAAAAUAAACUAUGUAUUCCUGCAUGUUCUUUACGUGAGUUGUUGGUUAGGGAAUCACAUGGGGGCGGUUUAAUGGGACAUUUUGGUAUUGACAAAACUUUUGCUAUUUUAAAAGAACAUUUUUAUUGGCCUCAUAUGAAACGAGAUGUGGAAAGAAUAUGUGAUAGAUGUAUUACUUGUCGCCAAGCUAAAUCUCGUGUUCAACCCCAUGGAUUGUAUACACCAUUGCCUAUUCCUAAUGAACCUUGGAUUGAUCUUUCUAUGGACUUUGUGUUGGGUUUACCUAGGUCUAAGCGUGGUCAUGAUUCGAUAUUUGUGGUCGUAGAUAGAUUUUCAAAAAUGACACAUUUUAUUCCAUGUCAUAAAACUGAUGAUGCAUCUCAUGUUGCUGAUUUAUUCUUUAAGGAGAUUGUGUGUUUGCAUGGUAUGCCUAAAACUAUUGUUUCUGAUAGAGAUACAAAGUUCUUGAGUUAUUUUUGGAAGACCUUGUGGUGUAAAUUGGGUACUAAACUGUUAUUUUCUACUACUUGUCAUCCACAAACCGAUGGUCAAACUGAAGUAGUAAAUAGGACUUUGUCGGGAUUAUUACGGGCUAUCAUUAAAAAGAAUAUCAAGAAAUGGGAAGAAUGUUUACCACAUGUUGAGUUUGUAUAUAACCAUUCUGUUCAUUCUGCUACUAAUUUUUCUCCAUUUGAAAUUGUAUAUGCUUUUAAUCCCUUGACACCGUUGGAUUUAUCACCAUUACCUGUUUCUGAAUAUACUAACAUGAAUGGAAAGAAAAAGGCUGAUCUUGUUAAGCAGAUUCAUGAAAAAGCAAGACUAAACAUUAAACGGAGGACGGAACAAUACAUUAAGCACGCCAACAAGGGACGACAUCAAGUGAUCUUUGAACCCAGAGAUUGGGUGUGGUUACAUAUGCGGAAAGAAAGAUUCCCCGUUCAAAGACAUUCGAAAUUGCUUCCGAGGGGAGAUGGUCAAUUUCAAGUUCUCGAGCGUAUCAAUGACAAUGCCUAUAAACUGGAUUUUCCAGGUGAGUAUAAUGUUAGUGCCACAUUUAACGUUAGUGAUCUAAGUCCGUUUGAUGUAGGUGACGAUUUGAGGACAAAUCCUUUUCAGGAGGAGAGGAGUGAUGAGGACAUGACAUGCGUGAAUUCAAAAAAGACUAAAGGGACGUGGGGAUCAAGCAAGGCUAGAACAAAGAGGUUCAAACAAGGUCUCAAUGGAUUGAUCCAAGAUGUUUGGGCUGAAGCUAACGCAAGAAGAUCUAAAGAAGAUGCCAGUGAGUAUGAGACACAAAUUUGGGUCAAUUUGAUACAAGCCUAAUUCUGAGUCCGCGAAUUAAAUAUUCAGCAAUUACUUCUCAAAAUUACCAUAUUAUUUAUACUCGUGGGCCUACAUGCAACAAUCAUUACACUACUGUUGUUAAUUGAAUUUGGUGCAGCAACAUUACUCUUGUUAAUUGAAUUUGGUGCAUUAGAUUCCUUUUACAAAUUGAAAUUGGAUAUCAGCCUUCUUAUUUCCUAAAUUGAUGUCAGCAUCCGUGUUACUUUCCUUUUUCCUACAUUCGGUAUUGUCCAACUUCGUGAAGGAAUUUCGGUGACUUCACGCGACAAUAACCUUCACGCGGCAAUGGAUUGCUUAUACACGGCAAAUUGACGUGGCGAAGAAUUUUUAUUUUAUUUGAAUUUUUAAUUUUUAAAUUCUAUUGUAAUUUGGAUUUCUUUUCCAAAUUGACUUCUAUUUCCUUAUAGCAAUUAGGGUUAUAGUUUAUAAAUUCCUAUUAGAAUUUAGAUUGUUUUGAGUAGUAUAAAUAGAGGUCCAAGUUGAUGUAAUCAAACACAUUAUUCAUUAUUCAAUAUAUUUAUGAGGUUAUUCUCUACUUUUGGUUCUUUGAAGAAUUCCUAAGUAUUUUCUUAGUUAUUUCUUUGAGAUUCAAUUUGACUUAUCACACAACAAUUCAUAGUUGUGUGUGGCGUCUUCUACCGUAUCAAUCGUCGAUUGUACCGAGAUUACCACUUCAAUAUAAGCGAGGGGUCAAGGUGUCAUUGGUGUCCAUUCAACGCAGAAUUCCGAACGCGAGUAAUUGUACCUAGAUUACCGUCUACAAUAUAGGCGAGGGGUUAAGGUGUUGCAAGCAAUUCAUCCAACAACUGUGCUAGAAAUGAUCGGGGCGGCGACCACCUUACGGAAGCGUGUCGUGGAUUCUAUCACCACUUGUUUAUCAAGAUUUAAGAAUCAUUAAAAGUAUAGCUUAUCCUAAAACUGUUGCAGGUAUCACUAUCUCGUAUCAUAGAAAUGAGUUGAAGAAAUUAAUUUCUUCAUAGUGAUUUGGUUGAAUUAUUCUCAAUUUAGUUGUACCUUUGAACCUAUAUCUUUGGAUCUCCAGACAAUUAGGUUGGGUUUCUAUCACAACGAUUCUUAUUUAGAGGUUUUAAACUCAUUCCCCUCGAUAUUAUUUUUACUUGCUCUCUAGUCAAACCUUUAGUUAACGGAACUGCUAUAUUUUUUUAGACUUUAUGUACUUAAUAGACACAAUUCCAUUAGAGAUCAAUUGUUUUAUGGUAUUGUGUCUACGACUCUUAUGUCUAGAAUUACCAUUAUGUAUGUGACUCUGUGCCUUCCAAUCGCUGAUUGGCUAUCACACUAAUACAAAUAGGCGGCACAGGUUUAGGCCACAUAUGAAUAUCUUCUAAAAAGUGAUGAAGCUACUCAGCUUCUUCUCCAACCUUAUCCAAUGCAAUAAAAUUAGAUUCCAUAGUUGAUCGAGUAAUGCAUGUAUGUUUAGAAGAUUUCCAUGAAACUGCUCCUCCACCUAGUGUAAAUACAAAACUACUUGUGAAUUUAGAGUCUAUUGUAUCCGAUAUCCAGUUCGCAUAUAUCACAGUAUCCUUCAAGUACUGAUGGAUAUCUUGAGUAAUGCAAUCCAAAAUUUUGAGUAUAUUUUAAAUACCUUAAAACUCUUAUAAUCGCUUUCCAGUGAUCUUGUCUUAGAUUACUUGUAAAUCUACUCAAUUUAUUGACUACAUAUGCUAUGUCAGGACGUGCACAAUUCAUUACGUACAUAAGGCUUCCAAUUAUUUGUGCAUACUCAGGUUGUGAUAUGCUCUCUACUUUAUUUUUACACAAAUGUAGAUUUAUAUCUACCGGUGUUCCCACAGGAUUGCAAUCAUAUUGAUUGAAUUUCCUAAGUAUUUUCUCAUUAUAGUGUGAUUGUGAUAAUACUAACCCAUCCGAUGUUUUAGAAAUUUUAAUUCCUAAUAUUACAUCAGCAACACCCAUGUCUUUUAUGUCAAAUAUAUUAUUUAACAUUCUUUUGGAAGUUUUAAUAAUUUCAUUAUUACUACCCAUAAUGAGCGUAUCAUCUACAUAGAGACAAAUAAUGAAAAACCAUUUUUCAGUGUCCUUGACAUACACACAUUUGUCACACUCAUUUAUCUUGAAACCAUUUGACAACAUUGCACUAUCAAAUUUUUCAUGUCAUUGUUCAAUUGCUUAUUUUUAUCCAUAAAGGGAAUUCACAAGCCGGCAUACUUUCUUUUCUUGUCCUGGAAUAAUAAACCCUUCUGGUUAUUCCAUGUAGAUUUCUUCUUCUAAAUCUCCAUAGUCUUGCUUUAUAUUUAUCUAUAUAUCCAUCUGCUUUCAUUUUCUUCUUGAAUAUCCACUUGUAUCCAAGAGGUUUAGAGUCAGGUAGGAGAUCUACUAAUUCCCAUGAAUGAUUAUUUAAUAUAAAUUCUACUUCACUAUUUAUAGUCUCUUUCCAAUAUGGAGUUUCGGGACUCGACACCGCUUCUCUAUAAGCUUGAGGCUCAUUUUCUAACAAAUAAGUUACAAAAUCUAGACCAUAAAAUUUUGAUAUUCUAGCACGUUUACUAUGUCUAGGUUCAUCAAUAUCUUCUAAUCCAUGCAUGAUCAUUUUUAUUAACAGUGUCAUAAGUUCUUUUGUUUGAACUUGUUUCUUGUUCAUUAAAACUUGACUCUUGUUCCUUUUUAUUAGGAAAUACUGUUUCAAAGAAUUCAACAUCUUUUGACUCAAUAAUAAUAUUUUCAUAUAUUUCCUCUAUUUUUGAUUUAUUAACCGAAAAUAUAUAUGCAUUGCUAUUAUUAGCAUAACCAAUGAAUAUACAAUCUAUUAUUUUUGGUCCUUUUUUUACCUUUUUGGGUGGAGGAACCAUUACUUUUUCUAAACACCCCCACACUUUUAAGUGUUUAUAAGACGGCUUACGUCCUUUCCAUAAUUCAUAGGAUGAAGCAUUACACUUCUUUUGAGGUAUUCCAUUGACAAUAUAAUUUGCUGAAAGAAUUUCGUCCCCCACAAAUUCUGAGGUAGCCCAGAGCAUAAUAAUAAUGCAUUCAUCAUUUCUUUCAAAGUUAUUUUUUUCUUUCUGCAACAUCAUUUUGUGAUGGUGAAUAAGGUGCAGUUGUUUGGUGUAUUAUACCAUUUUGUGAACAAAUUUCAACAAAAGAAAAUUUAUAUUCCCCACCUUUAUCACUUCUAACUAUCUUGAUCUUUUUAUCAAGUCGAUUCUCAACCUCAUUUUCAUAAUGUAUAAACAUUUCCAAAUCCUCAUCUUUACUUCUCAAUAAGUAAACAUAACAAUAUCUUGUAUAAUCAUCUAUAGAAGUAAGAAAGUAUUUCUUACCUCCUCUUGUUUGUAUAUAUUUUAAAUCACAAAUAUCAGUAUGUAUCAAUUCAAGAGGUUCUGUACUUCUUUCAAUUGAUUUAAAAAAAUAUUUCUGAAGUUUUGCCUUAACACAAACUUCACAUUUAUUAUUAGAGUUAAUCUCACAUUUUGGCAAACAUUCCAUAUUAAUUAAUCUACGUAUAGUAUUAUAAUUAAUAUGUCCUAAUCUACCAUGCCAUAAAUUAGAUGACUCAAUCAUAUAAGCAAAAAAUAUAAUUUUAUUAAUAUUGGAAGGUACAAUUGUCAUUAUAUUCAUUUUGAAGAGCCCAUUGCUCAUAUAUUUAUUUCCCGUAUACAUCCCAUUUUUAGUUAGGACAAACUUGUCUGAUACAAAGACCAAUUUAAAUCCCUUUUGACUAAGAAGGGAUCCUGACACUAAAUUCUUCCUAAUAUCAGGCACGUGGAGCAAGUUGUUGAGGGUGAGUUCCUUGCCAGAUGUCAUCUUCAAAACCACCUUUCCUUGUCCAGCAAUCUUGGAUGAAGAAGAAUUUCCCAUAUACAAGUGUUCUCCAUUCUCAAUUUCUUGAUAUGUGGAUAACAUCUUCCUUUCAGAACACACAUGGCGGGUUGCUCCAGUAUCUUCCCACCAUUCCCUGGGAGUAUCAACUAUGUUUACUUAAGAAACAACUGCUGAAAGGUUCAUUUCAAAAACAUCUUGAAGAAGACCAUCCACUUCUGUUACAUUGGCUUGUUGUUGUCAGUUUUAUAUACUAACAAUUCGCGCAAGUGCACACGGUCAACCAAGUAAUAUAGAAGUAAGAAGGAUGUCGAACCCAUAGAGAACAAGUAAUAAUAACUAUUCUAAUUAUCAAUUUUUUACUAAUUUAAAUCCACUUAAACAAUCACCUCAAUUGAUUUUUGAAAUUGUUUUGAAUAAAUAAAAUAAAACUCAAUUAACUAACAAGGAUUUGUCACCAGAUGAUUAAGACAUAGGGAAUACAAAUUUCUCAAUUGCUUAGCAUUAAUCGCCUUAUUUUAUUCCCACUUAAUUAAUCCAAUGAGUUGCUAACUAGGAUUGCUUAUGAAUUUAUAAACAUCUUUCAAUGAUUAAUAAAAAUACAUAUUUUAGUUAUAUUGCUAUUUUCAUGCAAGACAUUUAAAAUAGAUUCAUUAAGCACAAACUCUUAACAAAGUUACGUAUGACAUACAAGUAUUUUCAUCUUAUACACUGUUAUGUUAUCCUUAACAAGAAUCAACAAAAUCAUGCAUUAUUAUAUUCAUAUCUAAUAUAAGAUUUCCUUUUCCAAUUCCAUCAAAGAUAUCAGAUUAAUUGCUGGCCAAACAAUUAUUUAAUUAAACACAUAAUAUAAUAAUCAACUUAAUAAAAUAAAAAAGUGAAAAUAACGAUAAUUAAAUUAAUGCAUUGCAAAAGGUUCCAUUGUAUUCCUAAUUGGAAUUUAGUUCAUCAUAAUUAAGAAAACUAGCAUAAUGCAGUUAAAUAACAUCCCAAGUACAAAUAAAGAAGUAAGGAGAAGAAGAAAAACACUGUCGAGAAUCUCCAAACUUAGCAACUCCAAUCUCUGACUCUUAGUAUUCUUCAAUGCAAUCUCCAAAAGUCGGCUCUCAAUAAAAAAUCAACAAUCAUCAAGUUCUUUCUAAACUAGGGUUUAAGAGUUCACAAAGAUUUUAUACCUACUACUAAAUAACAAGCAUCUAUUUAUAGCAUACUGAUAUAAAUCCAACUCCUAAAAGAAUUAAAAAUGUCAAAGUAAAUUUCAAUUUGGCUUGGGAAUCAAUUAGCAAAUCUGGCAAAAUCCUGCUCGGUCGCGACCGUGUAUGACUCCUUUGUAUUUGAGGCGCUGCAGCGCUGCUAAAGAAUCUCAAUUGUCAUUUUUAAUCAAGUGUUAUCGUAUGUGCUCCCUAUGUAAUUAAGGCGCGGCCGCGCCUGGCCUGGUUUCUGCCCAAUUCAUUCUUUUUGCAUGCUAAGUCCAUCCUUACAUCCCUGUUCAAUUGCAACGCACCAUAACCUAUAAAAAUAAUGUAAAUGCAUGAAAUGUAACACAAACUUAAGAAGAUUAGCAAUAAUUUAAGUUAAACGAUAUCCGAAUCGUAGGUAUAAAACUCACUCAUCAAAUACCCCCAAACUUGAACCAUUGCUUACCCCCAAGCAAUCUAACACGCAAAAAGUAAAGAUGCAGACAAAACAAAACUAACUAUCAUGCAUACAACUAACGUCAUCGAGCUAAAACCACAAAAUCUAGGAUAUAUGCCUCAGAGAUUAUCAACGUAACUUAUAGCAAACUUCAUCUUAUGCAUAGUCAAAAACCUUUACAUUCUCACCAAGUUAUCACUAUUCAAGACCCUCCCUUUUGUGUGUGUGUCUAGUGUCAUAUCAACAACUCUUAGGUUGUUUAUGUGAUCAAGGCCAUAUACAAGACUCACCAAUCUCACUAAUUUUAGCCAAACAGGGUAUUCACAUAAGAACAAGGUUUAUAAUGAUCAUAAAGCAAGCAUAAAAGAAUUCUUGAAUUGCCCAUACUUAGCGGGUGCAUUUUACGCUCCGUCCCACUAUUUAUUUAAAUCCGACUUGUGCAAUGCUUAACUCUCUUAGGCUUUUCACCAUUACCCUUUUAGCAAACUUUCGACCAACGACUCCUAAACCAGUUGGUUUUUGGGUGAUGGGUGUAAAGACACCCCUAGGGCUUACUUGUUCGAGUAACAGCAACCACAAAAGUAAACUAAGCCAGCUUUUAUUCAUUACAUAUAUUUGUUUCAAUUUUCCAUUUCUUUUUUUUCAUUUUUUUAUAAUGUAGAUAAAUAUCAGAAUUCCCCCAAACUUAUAUGUCAACCCAUGUUUAGAUUUAAUCAAUGAUUAAGUAAGCUUAUUAAGUCAUGUCACACAUAAAGUCCCUAUUUGCCAUUGAUAAUCACCUGGUGUGCUUGUGUGUGGAAGAAAGCAUUAAGCACAAACCAUAAUAGACAAUCUAAGAAUAAUCAACAAUAAUUAAUAGAGAAGCAUAUUAAAAUAAACUACGCAACAAGCUCCAUUGUAAUCUUAAACAAGAAUUUAGUUCAUGAUUAUUAAAUUAAAAUCAAGAAUCCACAAUUGAAUAAACAUUAAAAGACAAAAAUAGAAGUAGAGGAGAAGAUAAAAUCUGUUGUCUACAGAUUUGAUGCUCCCUUCUUGCUCCUGCUCUUGAUCUUUAAUGAUCUCCAAGUUGCUUUAAUCUCCAAAUCUAAUAAAAACUAGGGUUUUGUCCUAAUCUAAUGAAUAUCUAAUCUAAUGGAAUCAUCCCCAUUAAUCCUUGUGAUUCUCCUCCUUAUAUGCCUCUCCAUGUGUCUUUUAGUCCUCCUCAAAGUCCUCGAACAAACAACUCAAACCAAUCUUCCUUGAACUCAACUUCUGAAAACUCUUUUUUUUUCUUCCCUACAAGCCCGCCCCGGCGGACUUUUUACACUAGGAAACCCCCGCCCCGGCGGGGGUACUUUUCCAAAAAUAAUAGAAAUGUCAAUAAGCUCCAUUUUUCAUAUUUUGACCUUCCGAAGCCAUUUCCUACAACAUAAACACAAAAAAACAAAUAAAAUGACACUAAAAAUACUUAAAGUUAACAAAGAAUUAAGCCUUAACGAUGUCCAAUUCGUAGGUAUAAAAAUCAUUCAUCACCUAUGAUCAUUAUUACUCAGGUAUAUUCUACAUGACUUGUAAUUAUAGUAUAUAGAUUCUCAUUCAAUAUUCUUGCAACACUCUGAUAUUUCAGCAUGACAUUAGAAGGAUGAGGAUGUAUAUUAUCAUGACGUCCAUCAACAUCAACCCUAGUUGUCUGUAUUUCGAAGUUUGACAAAUCAUAUAACUAACCUCUUAUUCUUCAUGUUUGUAUCAAACAUCUCUAUUAAUCAUAUAGUAUUGAUCUAUAUCAUAUAUGAUUAAUAGAGAUGUUGGAUACAAACAUGAAGAAAAAGGGGUUGGUUAUAUGAUUUGUCUAACUUUGAAAUGCAAACAACUAGAGUUGAUGUUGAUGGAAGUCAUGAUAAUAGACAUCCUCAUCCUUCUAAUGUCGUGAUGUAAUUUUUGAGUGUUGCACAGAUAUUGAAUGAGAAUUUAUAUAUUAUCUACAGAGGUAGCUGGAUGCUGAGCAAGCUGGAAAGCGNNNNNNNNNNNNNNNNNNNNNNNNNNNNNNNNNNNNNNNNNNNNNNNNNNNNNNNNNNNNNNNNNNNNNNNNNNNNNNNNNNNNNNNNNNNNNNNNNNNNGGGGAGUGAUGGAGAACCAGUUCAGAGACACCACAGUAGCAACGUCGACCCCCGUCGAAUGAUUUACAUUUUGUUUUGUAAGACAUUGUAGUUAUAUAUGUACAUCAUUAUAGUGAGCUUGAUUCUUUGUAAAUCAAUGGACUUUAGUUUAGUUUUGUAAAUCUUUUAACUUAGUUUGAUUCUUUGUAUUUUAUAAGUUAUACCAGUGUAGUUUAACAUUAUAUGUUGUUAGAAACAUGUAUAUAUAUUGUUUUUAAAAGUAGUUAUGUUGUAUUAUGAGUUGAUUAUAAUAUAUGUUGUUGGAUGGGUUGAUUAUAAUAUAUGUUGUUGGAUGUAAUUAUUGGUUAAUUAUUGUAUGUAUUGUUGGGAUAAAAAAUGUUACAGAUACAAAAAUGGGGUUUAAAAACAUGGAAACUACAAAAAUAAAAAUAUUAUUAAAAAAUGAUAUUUUCGAUAGAAUAAGGUAAAACCGAUGGAAUUUCAGUCGAAAAUAAGACAUUUAAUUUAUUUUAAAAAAGCAUAUGUUUGACGGAAUAUUACUUAUUUCCAACGGAUAUUUCAUCAGACUUAGGACUUACCGAGCUGACACAUGUCUCCAUUUAUCAUCGACGAAAAAUAAGUCCGUCGAAAAUAAUCUAAAUCCGACAAACAAUCCGCCGACUCUAAAUCUAUAGAUCAUAUUUAGUUUCGACGGAAUUGUCGACGGAAUAAAGUUCGACGGCCUUUAUUACGACAUAAUGGUCGACGGAAUAUUCCGUCGGAUAUUAUUUUAUUCUGACGAAAUAGGAUUAUAUCCAACGAAAUAUUCUGUCGGAAUUAAUGCUUUUUCUUGUAGUGAUUCUUUAUUUUAUUAUUCUUAUUAUUUAUGCUCAUCCUUUAUAUUAUUAUUAUUUGUACUAAUUGUCGACGUUGGGAUUUUUUAUUGUCCCUUUUCUGUUCUUAUCUUUUGGUGUUCUCAUGUUAGGUGAGAUUUGUUUGAAAAAAUAAGUUGUGAAAAGGUCCGACAUUUAUAUGUCAACGACUGGACGAUAAGAGUCGCCAGUUGGUAUUUUUAAAUGGUUGCACCAACUCAACCGAGAAAAGGUUUGCACAUUGACCGCGUGAUAUGACACGGCUAAAUUGGUCUGUGAAACCGAGAUUUGUUAGGAUCCGGGGACUUGCUUAUGUGGAGGGAAGGUGUUAGGCACCCUUCGACAUCCGUGUUGCAACGGUGACCACCACUUUUCAAUUAAACUGUUAUAUGAAUAUGUGUGUGUGUGUGUGUGUGGGUCAAUGUGCAGUUAUUUGGAAGUAGUGAUAUGCCUCAUUCGCACCUAUAUACAAAGGGUUUGAAAUUUGUAUAAAAGUUCAAUUUUAACAAGAUAUAUCAAUGAUGUUUUGUAAAAGAGGUUUUUCAAACCCUUAUGCUCAAUAGUAAUUGUGGUCUUUGAUACUUCCAUUUUAUUAAAUAUUCGGCUUGAUUGCUUUUAUUUUCGAGAUGCGAGGCAUCUUCGAGAAAAUAAGGUAUAUAGCAGUGCCGAACUCCUUAUGGGCAUGAUAGCCAUCUAAGGAAAUUCAAACGCCAUAAAUAAUGUACAAGCUGAUUAUAGCCGAAAAUGUUCAUCACGGAAACUGAAUCUAGAUUCAGGAGACUGAAUCUGUGAUCACGUGAUUCCUAGGCUCACAUGAUGUAGCAGUUUGUAUGAAAGUUGUAAGCAAUUAUAUAUAUAUAUAAGUUGUAAAUAUAUAUAUAUAUAUAUAUGGUCAACCACCACGAAGCGAACUUCAUGGGGGAGUGGAAAUGUAAAUAUAUAAAAGCGGUAAAUAUAUAUAGAGAAAAUUGACCACCACGAAGCAACUCCAUAGGGGAUUGGAAAUGUAAAUAAAGCAGUAAAGACGAUCAACCACCACGAAGUAAACUCCAGGCGGGACAAAAUAUAAAUAAAGCAGUAAAAACGAUCAACCGCCACGAAGUAAANNNNNNNNNNNNNNNNNNNNNNNNNNNNNNNNNNNNNNNNNNNNNNNNNNNNNNNNNNNNNNNNNNNNNNNNNNNNNNNNNNNNNNNNNNNNNNNNNNNNUAUAUAUAUAUAUAUAUAUAUAUAUAUAUAUAUAUAUAUAUAUAUAUAUAUAAGCAAUAAACGCUCCAGACGUGAGUCCAGGCCCAAUCGAGGCAUAACUCGAAAAUGUUAGUACAAAUAUAUAUAUAUAUAUAUACAAAAGAAAUAAAAAGCCACGGACCGAAGUUCGGGCAUACGCACACCACACGACUCUCAACUUGAAUAACUAUCUGUGCAGAAUGUGGAGAAAAGGCUUUAAGAAAUGUAAGAAGGCUUACAGUGGACUACCAAAGAAGACUUCAAUACCUUUAAAUGGAUUAACACUCGGUUCCCACCGGUAAAAUAUAGCAAAAUACAAGCUCACAAGUGUUUAAAAUAAGAAAGCACUCAAUUUAUAGUAUGUACAGAGCAAAUUGGACAGGACUUCCUCGCCUUUUCUCUUGCUAAAAUGGCCACCCCAAGCCUUAUAUUUAUAGAGCGGGGAGCCGCAGGUGUACCUAUAGUAGCAGCAGGUGUACCUGUGGCUGCCCAGGGUGCCCCAAGCAAUGUGGGUCCUGUCGUCUCGAAGUACGUGCACUCGGACAAUGCGUUGUUCGCUCGAACCUUCAUAACUUUCGAUCCGGGAGUCCGAUGGAAGUGUUCCAUACCAUUCCGGAAAGCUCUUUUCGAGAGCUAUGCAAUGAAAUAGGAUUUUCUCUUUUUUGAUUCCAGGAAGAUGGGUCCAUGACCAAAAUAGCAUUUCUGGGUCUCCCUUAGGUAGUCCGUUGAGCUAUUUUGCGUAGUUUACACUUGGAAAUUAAGAUAUGGUUCUUGUGGGACAUAUUUUGAUGACAUUUGCAUUAAAAUGAGUUGAUUUGAUUUUAGUUGAAGUUGAGUUGGCAAAAUGACUAUUUUGCCCCUCCCGGGGUUAUCUCCGAUUUUUGCACAGUUGUUGCAGUCUUUUCUCUGGAUUAUCUCUGAGGUUGGCCUACUGUUGACUCUGACUAUCCUCUGGGUUAUCUCUAAGGUUGGAUUGACCUCAUGGGGUUGUCUCUAAGCUUUGAACUUGAUCCCUUGGGGUUAUCUUCGGGUUUGGAAACUGAAUCUCCUGGGGCUAUCUCUGGGGUUGGAAUCGAUGUUGUGGUCCUCCAGGGUUAUCUCUAAAGUGUGAAAAAGAUGUUUUUGUCCUCCUACAUAGUUAGUAACCAGAAAAUGAAAUUUUGAGUGUCUACGAUGCCCCUCUUUAUCAUGUUCAUGCAAUGCAAUGGAAUGAACAUGAUAAAGAUUACUAAACACUUGAAAUAUGACAAAGUAUUUUUAAUGAUGCGAAUCGUAAUGUAAUAAAUGUUAUGAUGAAUGUUAAAAUAUUUUUGCAAAUCGCAGUUCAAAAAUCGCACAUCGCAUUUCGCACUUCGCUCUUCGCUUUCGGCCAAUCGCACUUCGCAACUCGCACAUCGUAUUUCGCAUAUCGCAAAUUGCAAAUUACAAAUCGCAAAUCGCAAAUCACUUUACCUUUACCGGUUAUUACCAAUGCCCAUGCUGGUGUUGACUGCAACGGUUUGCCUUUUUGUCGGUGUUGUCGACGCUUGCUUGAUGAAGAUAAGUUGAGAUAUUUUCUACAUCUCUGAUGGGGAUGAUGUCUUGCAAUCACCGAACCUUCCCAAUGUAUACGCUGGUAGUUUGCAACGGUGCCUACCCUGUAAGACCCCGAAUUUUUUAAUAAUAAAAUGGAAUUUCCUCUAAUUAUUAUUUUGGAAUAUUAUGGUGUGGAUUUGAUAUAAUGUUAAAGUUGUGGGUAAGGUUUACAAAUUAUGCAAAGUAAGCAACUUGAUAUAAAAUAUUUGUUUGGUCAGGGAAUAUCCGUACGAUGGCAUAAUCAUUGGUGGACCCCGCAACGGAAGUAAUAUCAUAGUUAGAAAACGAGAGAAAUAAUAUUGGUCUAAACUUUCUUAUGAAAUUUUUACCUUUUUAUGUCGGGGUUACUAUUCACGGGUUACUAUUCAUGAGUUACUAUUUAUGAGUUACUAUUCACGGGUUACUAUUUAUGGAGUACUAUUCACGGCAAAAUUAGUUUUUUUUUCUAACCAAAUUUUUACCGUUAAACUGUUAAAAUACCCGGUGGUAAAAGAACAGUAAUACGCGUGGUUUCAUAGUAGCACACGGUAUUGAUUAUUGAUGCUUACGUAAGAAGUCACUCAGUUAUACUCAAUUAUUGCUACAGUAAUUGAUGCAUAGUAUCUCAUGUUAUUUGAUUUAAUUAUUGUCACAGUAUCAUCUGCAUAAUAUUUUAUAUUAAUAAAUUAAUAAUUGAGACAAAAAAUUUAUUCAUAUUAUUAUUUACAAUAUUGACGAUGUCUAGAAAGUUCUGUCGAAGAAAGGGGUUUGGUCACCUAAUUGCGCGCCAAUAGGGAGAAAUCCUUAUCGGAAAGCCCCCUCUUUCCUAGGAAUGAUAUGGUUGUUAAAUAUUGUGAGUUAUAAUAUUAAUGAUGAAUAAUUGUUGAAAGAUUAAAAAUGUGUUUAUUAAAGAUAAAUGAUUUAUGGUAAUUAUUUAUUCAAUUUUUGAUAUAAAUAGAGGGGUUUGUUAUGAGGUGGUUGUUAUAAGUUUGGCUUAUUAUUCCAUGAGAAGAUAUGCUAAUUUUUUAUACCGUUGGUUGAUGUUAUAAUCGUAAAUCAAUAUGGAUCGUUGGUUGAAGAUAUAAUAGUAAAUCAAUAUGGACCGCUGGUGAAAAGUUAUAAUAGUAAAUCAAUAUGGAUCACUGGUUUAAAGUAAAUCAAUAUGGACCGUUGCUUUAAGUUUUAAUAGUAAAUCAAUAUGGGCCGUCCGUUUAAAAGUAAAUUAAUCUAGGCCGUUCAUGAAUUAGUUACUAUUUAGUCCUUUUUCCUAUAAAUAGAAGCUCAUUCCGUCAUUAUUUUUUAAGAAUUCACUGAAACUCUAGAGAGAGAAACUAUAGAGAGAAAGAAGAGGAGUAUUCUGCUACUACCCUACUUCAGUAUUCAAUCUUCUACUAAGGUAAGGGGUAUUAUUUAUUUCAUAUUCGCUUACGAUAUUAUUUUUCAUAUUCGUAAGAAUAAUAUUUCGUUUAAUAUUCGUAAGGGAUAUUGCUUCCUUCGUAUUCAUGAAGAGAGUUAUUUUCUUUCAAUACUUGUAAGGGUUGUUAUUCCAUUCUUUAUUAUUCUGUUGGAAUAACCUGUCUACGCGGACUAUCGCAUGCAUAGUGAAAUCCUUUUGUUAUUCCAUUCUUUAUCAUUCUGUUGGAAUAAUCUGUCUACGCGGACUACCGCAUGCAUGGUGAAAUCUUUUUAUUUUUCUAUUCCUUAUUAUUCUGUGGAAAUAACCUAUCUACGCGGACUACCGCAUGCCUGGUGAAUAACCCUUCGUAUUUAAUUAUUAUUAAAUAGUGAAAAUGAUCUGUCUACGCGGACUACCGCAUGAUAGUUUAAAAUCCAUUUGCAGUUUCGUAUAUUGUUCAUUUCAGAUUCCUAAACUCUAAACUUACUACGGUAAGUAUUGCUUCUAUAAUUCCUGAAAUGAUCAGAAAUUCCUUGAGUUUUCUUUUAUGUAUCCAAGUUGUCUGUUAUGGUUCCUAUCUUUGAUUGGAUCUAUGUUUUGAACUUUAUUCUUGAAUUUUGCUCCACAAAUGAUUAUUAUGGAGUAUUCUUGUACUUGAAUAAACUAAAUUAUGAAUCCAUAAUCGUGUCCUUUAUCUCACUGGAUUCGUUCUUUAAAAUAUUUUUUCACCAUCCUCAGUCUUAAAUGGUGAUACUUGAUGAAUAUCUUUGGCUUGUAGUGCAAAGAUGAAUGAUUACCUGAUGAACAUCUUUGGUCCGUAGUGAAAAGAUGGACAGGUGUUGAGAUGAACAUGACCAACUGAUGAUACAAAUGCAUAUCUUUGGCCUGUAGUGCAAAGAUGAAUAUUUGAUUCAAGAUAUAUAUUGAUUGAUGUUACAGGGAUAAAAUAUUGAUGAUGGACUUUUAAAUCAUAAAAGAUAGUAGACUACAUUCUCUACUUAACUCUUCUAAUGAAUUGUUGUUUCCGCUGCAGUUGUUGAUCUAAAACUUGUUAUCUAUUGUAUUCUAUCAGAUUUUUCCCUUUUGAGGACUAAGAAUAAUUUGUUCUAAAUUAUCUUAGUCAUAAUAUUCUUUACUGGGCUAGUUGAGCUCACCCUUUUCCUUUUUGUUCCAUUUUUUUGUCAGGAGGCGAGAAUAUAGCCGGAACUAGUCUUGGUGUGGAGUGAUAUUUCAAGGCAUUUGUUUUAGUAGUCCUCACUAUUUUAUAAAAUAGUGUAUCAAUAAUUGUAAUGAGGACUUAUUUGAGUGUGGAUAUUUUCUAGAAGACAAUAUUUAUAUUUAAACUCACAACAUAUGUGUUGUCGUAUUUUGCACGAUAAUUGUAAUAAGGAAGUUGUUGUUAUUUUCUGUACCGUGUAUUUGGCGACUCAGAAUGGGUUGUGUGGACCUAUUUUGGGGGCGUCACAUACAUUGCUGAUAGUUUGACAACGGGUCCUACCUUGUUGGUACUUGACUACGUUGACAUCGCCAAACUGUUUCAAUUCCCACUCGAACGGUGGUAUACAAAGCUUUCAUCACUGAACUGUCUUGAUGUUAUGAUGUAUUAAUGCCAAUGGUUUCGAAUACCCGAUCUUUCGAUACCUUCGCUUAAGUAAUAUUCAAAGGUUUUCUUAACCAGACUCUGCCUCACCCUUUUUGAGGUGAUUUGGAGUUUCCUUUCGCUGUUGGGUGCUUGUGCCCCAUUUCCUUGAGUGUUUGAUUCGCAACCUGGCUGAACCGAUGACUUGAAUGCUGCUGAGAUCCCUGGAGGGUACAGCUCAUUCUUUCGCUGCCCAACUUUGAACUUUGGUGUAGAGGCCUCAACUUAUAAGGACUUGACGCAGGUUAACAUGUUUGAUGGUGUAGAUUUCAUUCGAUAGACCUUUCGUCGUUGGCCUUCUACUUCUGAGUUAAGAAAUUUUUUGAGAAUUUUGCCCUUCUUUCGUAGGGGCAAGCUAAUGUCGCCAUGAUUUCUUCCAGGAGUUCUCCCCUUUCUUUUAAUGAGAGGCUUGAUCCUGCCUUAAACUCCUUCCCUUUCCUGGAAUCGGAAAAUGCCCUAGUCCUUUCGUAUGUUGUUGCCGGGGAUUCAUAUGAGAAACUCUCUUUGUUGACCAAGUCGCGAGUGAAUAAUAUCCUCACAUGUGGACUAUUCAUUCUAAGAACAGUAUGAUUGGAAAAGACCAAAUAAUCAUACCGAAUUGCUAGUGAGAUGAUGUGAGGGAAGCUCUGAUGAUGAUGUACCAUAUUGAUGGUGCUGACUGGUGUUGAUUGGUGCAUUUUCCUCUUUUGGAUGGUUGAUAAAUGCCCUAGUGUUGAGUUUUUGCUAUUUCUGAGAUUGCCCCAGUCUUGUUGUAAGGGUUCCAAUAUCGGGUUGUCGCCAAUUUUGAAAUUGCUCCAGCCUUGCUUGUUGUCUGGGAUAGUUGCUUUGAUAGAUGGGUUGAUAAGAUGCUGAGAUCACAAGAGGCUUUUACCUCUGUACCAGAUGGUGAACGGGUAGUGUAUUUGAGCUUUGAUGCCCUCAAUCAUUUUUUCUGACUUGUUCGCACAAUCAACUUUGAUGGUUUUCUUCUAAUUUGAUGAAGACUUGUGAUUGAGGGUGUCGGAUCUUUGAAGGUCCUCGCUGCUGGUUGUCUUGGCUUAUCGUUGUUUCUUCCUUUCUGGGAUUUGUUCCAGAUUUGAUGGAAUAACAUUGAAGUAUUGUUGGGUCUUCUUAACAUGGGACGCUGACUUGGAGGGUUGUUCUUUGGUGUCUUGGGAUUAAUGUUUGGGCUUGGAUGUUUCUUUUGAGGGUUUGACCGCACCACUGAUGGCUGCCUAUGUACUCCUGUAUGUGCGGGAGAUCAGGUCUGCGUAGUUCCGAUAAGAUAAAUGGUCUGAGAAGUGUUUGUUUGGGUUUUUUGGGUUUUUGUUUGGUUUGACCGCACCAUAAAUGGCUACCUACGAACUCCCAUUGAUGAGGAAAGAUCAGGUCUUUCGUAGUUCAGUCCUAAUGAGCUGAAACCUAACUGAUUUGAUUUUUGAUUUUUGAUUUUUUUUUUCUUUUUUUUCUUUUCUUUUUCUUUUCUUUUCUUUUUGUUUUUGUUUUUCUUUUUGUUUUUGUUUUUAUUUCUUUUUCAAUAUUUACAUGCAUGGAAAAUAAAAGGCAUACUGCGAAGAAAGUGAUACCGUCCCAACAUCUCUUGGAACUCACAACUCUAUCCUCUGGAUCUACACCUUCUUGGCUAGCUAAGGUUUGAUAGUCCAAUUGUCAGUGGUUAUGUUGCCUUCAAGGCUCGCGAUAGAGGUUACCUCUUGAUUCUAAAUAUCUUCACUUAUAGCCAUAACUUGAUCGCUUCCUGAUUCAAUACAUUCCUCAAGGACACUUAAACUGGACCCAUCGCAAAAAGGUAUGAACUCAUGAUUCUUUGAUGGGUUAGUUUCCCCGAUAACCUCACCACCUUUUCCUUCACCUUUUUCUUGGGCUUUGAGAGGAUUCGAUCAUAAAAUCUCCCUCGAACUGUUGUCGCAUUUCUUGCAAGGAACUUUCCUUUUUGGCUUUUUCUUCCUUGGAAAGGAUUACUAUUUCCUCCGCAUAAUCCAAGGUUAUAAAAUCAAGAACGUGGUUGCUAUCUUUGGACCAUAGGAUGUUUGAUGUUGGUGGAGGAAUCUCCCUUGGGGUUUCCCUUGUCUCCUCUGUCAUUUCCUGUGUUAGGAUCAGUCCAUCUUGUGUUCUGCCAAGAUUGGUGCUCAUAGCCUUCACCUCCUUUGAACUGCAUGUCUCGAGUGGACAUCUUAAGCUUUUUAUUUCCUCUUCGUUUUUUCUGUUUAUGAUGAAUUCUAUCUUCAGCUCUUUCUUUUCAAUGAGAUCCUAAAUUUUAUGUCGCAAAGACCAGCAUUCCUCAGUCGCAUGUCCAAGUGAGUUAGAAUGAUAGAGACACUUCUUGGUUGAAUCAUAACUCUUUAUCUUGGGAUUUAUAGGAGGCAGCAAAUCAGUAAUCCUUCUUUCGCUUAUUAGAAAGUGUAGAAUUUCUUCAUUUGAUUUGUUCAGAGGGGUGAAUUUUUGAACUCGUGUGGAGGUUGUUUGAUCUUUCUUAUUUGAGAAUUCGCAUUCCCCCGAGCAAUAUUUCUGUUGGUGAGAUCUUCUAGCAAUUUUAUCAUCCCCCUUUUCCUUUCCUUUCAACCUGCUUUGAUCUUCCUCAUUUAGCUGGCUCAUCCUGGAGAGAUAUGGGUUUGCAUUAUGGUUAACCUCUUUUUUCUAUUGGCUUUUUGAUAGUUGAGUGAAAAACUGCCUUGUUUCCUGAUGUUGGCGCACUAUCAACUUAGCUAGAAGAUUUAUUUGAUUCUGAAUCAUCUCUAAUUUUUGCAUUAUUAUCAUACCCUCCUCCGAGUUUUUCCACUCUAGGACAUUUGUUCGGUGCCUUUGGGGGUAUUUCUCAAUCCUUCAUAUAUACUUACGAUUUGGAUACAUUUCAUCGCUUCCUGACCCGAUCAUGUUUACUUCCUCUGUAUCAUGCUGCAACGGAAGGUUGGUGUUGACAUUUUGUUGAUCAGGUUGUUGAACCACAAUACUGCCACUUUCGAUCAGAUUUUGAAUCUUAUGCUUUAAGGACCAACAAUCUUGUGUAUCGUGUCUUGGAGACCAUGAAUGGUAAGCACAUCUCUGGCUUGGAUUGUAUCUUUUGCUCCUUGGUUCCAAAGGUGGAGCUAGUUCAGUAAUUUUCUUGUGAUCCAUUAAUAUCGCCAAUACAUUUUCAAGGGAAUCGCCCAGUGGAGUGAAUAGCCGAUUUUCCGUUCUUUCGAAUUUUCUCCUUCUGUCUUGACAUUGGUUGAAUGCAGCAUGUUGUUGAAAUGGCAGAUUGUCCUGCUUUUUCCAAAUGAGGGGACUGUAGGUUGGUCUCCUAGCUUGCCCCUGUACAACAAGGGAUAUAUCUUCAUUGCCUUUAUCGAUUACCCCCUUGGGAUCGCUCCCAUACUUUCCAGUCUGUAUAUGCUUGGUGACUGCUUCCCAGGCAGUGAAGUCUUUAAUCUUGCCUGUCUUUAGACCCAUCUUUGCCAUUUUGCCGUGUUUGAUCAUUUUUUAGAAUAGCGUUCCUAUGCCUGCUAGGAUCCUCUCAUAGUAAGGAGCCUCUUGGAUAUCAAUAAACGUCAUUACCAUCUCAGUUUAUGUCAUUGAUGGAAUGACUUGCGCUGCUAGAUGUCUCCACCUUUGGGCAUAUUCUCGGAAAGAAUCAGUACUUUGCUUUUUGACUUUAGUCACUUGGAAUCGAUCCGGUGCCAUUUGUGAUUGAAAACUGUACUGAUUUAGAAAGGCGUGGGCCAAUUCUUCCCAGUUGUGGAUUUUGGCAUUGUUAAGUUAGGCAUACCAGGCUUUAGCCUCUCCAAUGAGACUCUUUUGAAAAAGUUGCAUUCUGAGGCUUUCAUCUUCAGCAUAAGACCCCAUUUCACCAAUGUACACUUUUAGGUGUGUAUAGGGAUCGCCUGCCCCAUUGUAUUUUUCAAACUCUGGGAUUUUGAAUUUGCCAGGAUAUCGAGCCCCUGGGAAUAUGCAGAGAUCUGAAUAGGUGAUACUACCAUAGUUUCCAGUCCCUUUGAUUGACCGGAUGGCUUUCUCCAUUUGUUGGACUUGCUUUCUUAUAUCCCCAGCUUCUCGAUCAUCCCAGAGUUUUGUGAUUUUAGGGUUUUUGUUGGUUCCUUUAUUGGAAUGAGGCUCUGGUAUCUGGGUUUCCAUCUUUUUGCCAAUACCCUGACUGCCCCCUGGUGUGAAUGACUCUGGUUGAGUAGGCAUUGUCUGGCCCUGAGUGUUUUUACUUUGUUCUUUUAGAAAGACAGCCAAUUCUGCUAUCUGAUUCCUUAAUCCUUCAAACUCCUCUCGAGAGACAGGAGUAGGAUUAGGUGGAGCACUUGUAGUCAUGUCUGACUGUGGACUUAAUUCCUUUCUGGACUUUGAACGGGAAACGUGACCAAUUGCUUCCCUAAUAAAAACUUAUAUAGUUUAGUCUUAGGGAAUGUAUAAAUGUAGCAUGCUAUAUGAUGUGUCCAUUUUAGGAGUAUUAUCCUACAAAAUGGAUGUUAGCUGUUUGUAAGAUAGCAUGUCAUGUUUCAAUAUAAAAAGGAAUGCAUGUACACAUAUUCCUUCAUAUUUUCCAUUACAAUGGAAUGAAAUUACAAGUAAUUGAAUUUACAAGUAAUUGAAAUGGGAAAGUAUGAAUAAACUUCCCUCCGCAUUUGGUUUAUCAGAGGCUGACCUAUCCUAGGUUACUCUCAUGGUUUUUUGGCAUGAAGGUCCCCAGAUCAUCGCAAUUUACUUGACAGGAAGUUAAUCCGGUCUUUCAACUGGAGCGAAUCUGGGUGGUGCCUUUCCAGCCUCAUUAGAAUUAGUCUUCCUACAAGUCCAGUAAUCAAACACUGAUAGGAUAUCCUCCUGAUGGAGGGACCGCACAACAUACAUUCACAUACAACGUGUCUCACCGUUAUGGAAAUGAUGAUAUGUGCGAAGAACUUCAAUAUCACAAAUAGAUACAGUGCGAAGCACUAAGUGCAGUAAGUAAAUGCAUUCAUACACAUUUGUAUAAAUGUAAAUACAGCAUCCACACACAAGCAGAUAAUAGUUUAAAAGUUUGUAAUAGCUGCUUAAGCCCUCUUACCGGAUAUCCCCAGCAGAGUCGCCACCUGUCAACGUCGGGAUUUUUUAUUAUCCCUUUUCUGUUCUUGCUUUUUGGUGUUCUCAUGUUAGGUGGGAUUUGUUUGAAAAAAUAAUUUGUGAAAAGGUCUGACAUUUACAUGUCGACGAUUGGACUGUAAAAGUCGUCAGUUGGUAUUUUUAAUUGGUUGCACCAACUCAACCAAAAAAAGGUUUGCACAUUGACCGCGUGAUGUAACACUGCUAAAUUGGUCUGUGAAACCGAGAUUCGUUAGGAUCCGGGGACUUGCUUAUGCAGAGGGAAGGUGUUAGGCAGCCCCGACAUCCGUGUUGCCACGGUGACCACCACUUUUUAAUUAAACUGUUAUAUGAAUGUGUGUGUGUGUGUGUGUGGGUCAAUGUACAGUUAUUUAGAAGUAGUGUUAUGCCUCGUUCGCACCUAUAUACAAAGGGUUUGAAAUUUGUAUAAAAGUUCAAUUUUAAUAAGAUAUAGCAAUGAUGUUUUGUAAAAGAGGUUUUUCAAACCCUUAUGCUCAAUAGUAAUUGAGGUCUUUGAUACUUUCAUUUUAUUAAAUGUUCGGCUUGAUUGCUUUUAUUUUUGAGAUGCGAGACAUCUUCGAGAAAAUAAGGUAUAUAGCAGUGCCGAACUCCUUAUGGGCAUGAUAGCCAUCUAAGGAAAUUCAAACACUAUAAAUAAUGUACAAGCUGAUUACAGCCGAAAAUGUCCAUCACGGGAACCAAAUCUAGAUUCAGGAGACUGAAUCUGUGAUCACAUGAUUCCUAGGCUCACAUGGUGUAACAGNNNNNNNNNNNNNNNNNNNNNNNNNNNNNNNNNNNNNNNNNNNNNNNNNNNNNNNNNNNNNNNNNNNNNNNNNNNNNNNNNNNNNNNNNNNNNNNNNNNNCAUGGGGGAUUAGAAAUGUAAAUAAAGUAGUAAAGAUGAUCAACCGCCACGAAGUAAACUCCAGGCGGGACGAAAUCUAAAUAAAGAAGUAAAAACGAUCAACCGCCACGAAUUAAACUCUAGGCGGGAUGAAAUAUAAAGAAAGUAGUUAAAGGCCACGAAAUAAACUCUAGGUCAGAUAGAAAUGUAAAUAUAUAUAUAUAUAUAAGCGGUAAACGCACCGGAUAUUAUAUCCAGGCUCAAUCAAACAGAGUUUGAUGGUAAUAAUAUAUAUAUAUAUAAGUAUUUAUAUAUAUAUAUAAGUAGUAAACGCUCCGGAUAUAACAUCCAAGCUCAUCGAACAGAGUUCGACAAUAGUUUAUAUAUAUAAAAGCAAUAAAUGCUCCGGAUGUGAAUCCAGGCUCAUCGAACAAAGUUCGACAACAGUUUAUAUAUAAGCAUAUAUAUAUAAAAGUAAUAAACGCUCCGGAUGUAAAUCCAGGCUCAUCAAACAGAGUUCGACAAUAGUUUAUAUAUAAGUGUGUGUGUGUGUGUGUGUGUGUGUAUAUAUAUAUAUAUAUAAGCAAUAAACGCUCCGGACGUAAGUCCAGGCUCAAUCAAGGCAUAAAUCGAUAAUAUUAGUACAUAUAUAUAUAUAUAUAUAUAUAUAUAUAUAUACAAAAGAAAUAAAAAUCCACGGACCGAAGUUUGGGCAUACGCACACCACAUGACUCUUAACUUGAAUAACUGUGUGUGUAGAAUGUGGAGAAAAGGCUUUAAGAAAUGUAAGAAGGCUUAUAGUGGACUGCCAAAGAAGACUUCAAUAGCUUUAAAUGGAUGAACACUCUGUUCCCACUGGUAAAAUAUAGCAAAAUACAAGCUCACAAGUGUUUAAAAUGAGAAAGCAAUCAAUUUAUAGUGUGUACAGAGCAAAUUGGACGGAGCUUCCUCGCCUUUUCUCUUGCUAAAAUGGCCACCCCAAGCCCUCUAUUUAUAGAGGAGGGAGCCACAGGUGUACCUGCGGCAGCAGCAAGUGUACCUGCGGCAGCAGCAGGUGUACCUGCAGCAGCCAGGGAUUCCCCGGGCAAUAUGGGUCUCGCCGUCUCGAAGUACGUGCACUCAAACAACGCGUUGUUCGCUCGAACCUUUAUAACUUUCGAUCCGGGAGUCCGAUGAAAGUGUGCCAUAUCAUCCCGGAAAGCUCUUUCCGAGAGAUAUGCAAUGACAUAUAAUUUUCCCUUUUUUGAUUCUAGGAAGAUAGGUCCAUGACCGAAAUAGCAUUUUCGGGUCUCCGUUAGGUAGUCCGUUGAGCUGUUUUGCGUAGUUUGCGUUCGGAAGUUAAGAUAUGGUUCUUGUGGGACAUAUUUUGAUGAUAGUUUCAUUGAAAUGAAUUGAUUGGAUUUGAGUUGAAGUUAAAUUGGCAAAAUGACCAUUUUGCCCCUCCCGGGGUUAUCUCUGGUUUUCGCACAGUUGUAGCAGUCUUUUCUCUGGGUUAUCUCUAAGGUUGGCCUGCUGUUGACUCUGACUGUCCUCAAGGUUAUCUCUAAGGUUGGCUUGACCUCUUGGGGUUGUCUCCAGGCGUUGAACUUGAUCCCCCGGGAUUAUCUCCGGGGUUUGGAAACUGAAUCUCUCGGGGCUAUCUUCGGGGUUGGAAUUGAUGUUGUGGUCCUCCAGGGUUAUCUCUGGAGUGUGAAAAAUAUGUUUUUGUCCUCCUGCAUAGUUAGUAACAAGAAAACAAAAUUUUGAGUGUCAACACUAAUCAUCAGGAUUGAAGUAGUUGUGAGUGUCUUUGGUCUGCAAAGGCAAUAAAAUUGUUGGGUGUUUUUAGCAUGUGUAAAAAUGACACCUGAUGAAAGUUCUUUUUGGUCUGAGUACAAAGAGAAACUGUUGUUUGGUAUUAUCAUGUCAUGACCAUUGGUGUUACCGAUGAUGGAGGCCAAAUGAUGAAUUUUAAUUUGGAGAAAAUAUUAGAUAUUAUUGUCUAUUUGACUUUGUUAAUGAACUGCUUAUUCCACUAUAAUUAUUCAUUAAAAAAAUUAUGAUGUUUAUUAUUUUCUAAACCUUUGAUUAAAUCACUGUUAAAUGCUAAAGAUAAUUUUAUUUUUUCAUUAUCUUAGACUCUUAGUCAUGAUAUCAUUUACUGGGUUAUUUGUGCUCACUCUUUUAUAUUAUAAUUCUUUUCAUAAAAUGAGAAUAUAAUUAGGGCUAGCGGGAAAACAUGGAAAUGGAAUGAUGAUCUGAGUAGUGGUUGUAAUAAUUCUCACCAAAUUGUAAAAUAAUGUGCUAAUAAUUAUUGUGAGUACUUAAUGUGUAUGUGUGUGUUCUACCGUGCAAUGCAUAGUACUGUAAUAAUAUUAAUUAUGUGAAUUUUAUUAUGUGUUUUGUAUUUUGACACUUCAAAUUGAGUUGUGUAAACCCAAAUUUUAGAGGGUCACAUUAGAACAGUUCGUACUUUGCAUGGGUGCUAAACUAGGAAUAUAUAAAUGUAAUAAGAGAGAGUUUCUCCUCACAAAAUAAAGUUUUCUCAUAGACUAAUAUUUUAAAACUUUUUUUUACCAAUACAAAAUAAUAAUAAUAAUAAUAAUAAUAAUAAUAAUAAUUAAACAUACAUAAAUAUUGUGACGCCCCCAAAAUAGGUAUACAUCACCCAUUUUGAGUCAUCAAUAACAUGGUACAGAAAUAACUACAACUUUAUUAAUACAACAUAAAAACAAUGAGUUUAAAAACAAAUAUUGUCUUCUAGACAAUAUCAACACUCAAAUAAGUCCUCAUUACAAUUAUUGAUACAUUAUUUUACAAAAAUGGUGAGGACUACUAAAACAACUCUCUAGAACCAUCAUUCCACACCCCGACUAGAACUCGCUACAUUCUCGCCUCCUGAGAAGAAAAAUAGAACAAAAAGGAAAAGGGUGAGCUCAACUAGCCCAGUAAAGAAUAUUAUGACUAAGAUAAUAUAGAACAAAUUAUCAUUAGUCUUCAACAGGAAAAAAAUCUGAUAAAAUACAAUAGACAACAAGUUCAGAUCAAUAUUUGCAGCGGAAAUAAUAAUUCAUAGAUGAGUUACAUAGAGAAUGAAAUCUACUAUAAUCUAUGAAUUUAAAAGUCCAUCAUCAAUAUUUUAUCCCUGUAACAUCAAUCAAUAUACAUCUUGAAUCAAAUAUUCAUCUUUGCACUACAGGCUAAAGAUAUUCAGUAAUAUCAUCAUUUAGGACUGAGGAUGAUGAAAAAUAUUUUAAAGAAUAUGAAUCCAGUGAAACAAAAAUACAAAUAUUAAGGAUUCGUACUUUAAACAAUCCGAGUUCAAAAAUACUUUAUAAAUAAUCAUAAUGGAGUAAAAUUCAAGAAUGAUCAAAACAUGGAUACAAUCAAAGCUAGUAUCCAUAAUAGAUAUUUUGGACAAAAAAUAAAAAUUUUAAUUUUUCUAUGAAUAGUGUCGUAUUCGUGAAUAGUACCGUAUACGUGAAUAGUAACCCAGACACUAAAAGACAAGAAUUUCACAAGAAAAAUACUAUCAAUAUUCCGGCAUAAUGAUAUUGAAAGAAAUAAUAUCAUUUUUUUAAAAAAAUAACAUCCUUUACCUCGAAAAGAACAGUACUUCUAGCUGGAAUAUCAGAUAUAACGCUGAAGGAACUUGCACCGUAUAGUAACACGCUCGAUAAUAUAGAGAGAGAAAACUUCAAUUUUUGGUGUGAUUUUUAAUUCUAACCUAAGCACCCUAUUUAUAGGAAAAUGCUUAGAACACCAAAGCAGAAAAUUUAAUAAAAUAAUAAUAUAAAUAUAAUUUUUUCCUACGCCAACCUUUANNNNNNNNNNNNNNNNNNNNNNNNNNNNNNNNNNNNNNNNNNNNNNNNNNNNNNNNNNNNNNNNNNNNNNNNNNNNNNNNNNNNNNNNNNNNNNNNNNNNAGAUUAUUCUAAAAGAAAGCAAAUAAACAACUAAAAAUUGAUGGAAUUCAGAUAAAUAAGGAUUAAGACUCCAAUAUCCCCAAUUAUGAACUAUAAAUUAAUUAUCCAAUUAUCCUAAUUAUUACGUCUAUUGAAUUGUUAACAGGAAUUCUCAAAUGCCAAAAGCUCUUUCUCAAGUGAUCAUUUGCCUUCUAUUUAACCUAGAUUAAUUUUGCUAUAUCUCUAUACAAAACAAUUGAAUUAAACUCGUUACAACCCCAAUUCCUUAUGUGUUACAUGCGCCAAAUAGAUAUUCUCAUUCUAUUCACAAACCUAAUUAUUCACUGUGCAAAUAACUAAGUCACAUGAUAUCAUGCUCAGUUCUAACCCUAGAAUUCCUUUCUCAAUUCCUUCUAGAGUAACAAGGUAAUUACUGAUCAGAUAAUUAAUCAAUAAGCAUAAGGCAAGAUAAAGAACUCACUUUGACAAAAAUAAUUGGAAUAAAUCAAAUAACUAAUUUAUAGCCAUAAAAGGUUCAAUUGAAAUCUUAAUAAAAGAAUUAGUUCAUAAUUAAUGAAUUAAAACCAAGAAUCCACAAUUGAAUAAACAUUAACAGAUAAAAGUAUGAUAAGAGAAGAGAAUAGAAUAUGUUGUCAGCAAAUCUGAUGCUCCCCUCUUGCUCUUGCUCUUGAUCUUCAAUGUUCUUCAAUUUGCUUCAAUCUCCAAUGGCUAAUUAAGAACUAGGGUUAUGUUCUAAUCUAAUGGAGUGUUUAAUCUAGUCUAAUCUAUGUAAUCUCCCUCUAUUUUAUGCCUUAUAUCAUGUAUUUGUAGGUUACAAGUCCAAUUUUUAGUUUAGGAACAAACCCAAUCCAAUUUGGAGUAAAAAAGGUAUCAAAAUUCGUUCAAAAACGCGUCCAAGCCAUCACCAAGCCCUUCCCCAGCGCCCCAGCGCUGGGCUUGACGCUCAAAACCUGCUCCCCAGCGCCCCUGCGCUAGGCAUAGACCUAUUUUGGGUGCCCCGGCGCUGACCUCAAGUUUUGACAUUUUCUACUCCGAUGUCCUUUGGGAAAAUGGUCAUAACUUCUUCGUUCGAACUCCGAUUUCGAUGAUUCAAGAUUAUCCGAAAAGAGAAAAAGUAUAUCUACAACUUUCAUUCUUUGAGUUUUUUGAAAUAAGGUCCGGAGCAAUACUCAAAUUGGCUCUGAAGUGACUGUUGUGUAAAUGGCAAGCCGAAAAUGCGAAUCUAGCCACCCCAAACGUCGAUCCAAGUAACUUUUGUCCCAAUUCCUACAAAACAACGUAAAACAUGCAUGAAUAGACACAAACACUUAAAAUCAACCAAAAGAUUAAGCUCAAACGCACUCAAUUAUGUGUAUAAAACUCACUCAUCAAAUACCCCCAAACUUAAACAUUUGCUUGUCCUCAAGCAAAAACACAAAAGAACUAAAAAUAAACAAACUAACUCAACUACAUGAAUUCAUAUGCAUGAUCUACUUCGUAAUAUACCUACGAACCCAGUAAUAAAUCAGUAUGAUUUAUAGCAACAGGCCUCAAAGAUACCAAUGAUACUCAAACAAUAUAUCCAAUCAAGUCAAAGUCCAUAACUCUAACCAAAUAGUCAAUCCAAACAUGUUAUCACCCAUGUUGUGUAUGUGUGCUUGUUAACCGUUCUAACCAACCACAGUUCAAGAUAAUCACAUAACAAACUUCUUAGAAGGAAAAUUUCAGUUCCAAUUCAAUUACUUUUGUGAACAUGACAACUCCGGUUAAAAUUAAGCAAUUACCAAAGUCUUAAGGUAUUAUACUCUUAUUCAAUCACGAGGGCAUUUUUGCACUUUCUCGUGUUUUAUUCAUUUUUUUUUCUCAUGGCUGUGCAAUGUCUUAUUCCCUUAGGCUUUUCAGUGCUACCUUAACGAACUUUCGACCAACGACUCCCAAGCCAUUAAGACCUUAGGGCGCUAGGUGUAAAGACAAUCCCCUCGGGCUUACUUACUCAAGUAACAAAGGCCACAAAACUAGACAAGCAUGCCACGGUGUUUAUUCUCUUUUUCUUUUUCAUCAUCUCUUUUCUUUUCUUUUUUCUUCUUUUUUUCGUUUUUCAUUUUUUUUUUAAUAUAUAUCCCAUAGAUUCCCUCAAACUCAAGCUUUUGCGUCAUUCUAACCUCUACUACCAGUUCACUAAUUUCCUUCAAUUUUAACAAAGAUUUUCCCUCAGAAACAAAUUAUGAAACCCUUGAACCAAGUGGAUUUAAAUAGUUAAACUUUAAGUGCUAACCGGUUACAUAAGUUUAAGACAGGCUAUGUAGCAUCCCCGAAUCCGGGUCCCAAAUCGCCGCGGAUCCGGUNNNNNNNNNNNNNNNNNNNNNNNNNNNNNNNNNNNNNNNNNNNNNNNNNNNNNNNNNNNNNNNNNNNNNNNNNNNNNNNNNNNNNNNNNNNNNNNNNNNNGCGAAAGGCUUCUUCACUAGUGACUGAUCAGCACAUGGUACUACAAUUUGACUGCUUUUGAUUAUACGGUACAAACCUGUCUGUUCUCCGCUCUAUCUUACCUGGAAAGUGGGAAAUAAACUCCCCUGUUGGUUAAACUCGUAUGCCAUCUUUGCUUCUUUUUCAAAUCCUCCUCUCUUAGUCUUGGCUCUGCCUCGUACUACCUUCACUAGAUAGAGUUGGAGCUUUCUUUUGAGUUGCAUCUAGUUCAGUAGGUGCCCUGAUAGUCGUGAAAGUCAAGCUACUUCCUUCUCUUCGGAGCUGCAAAGUCGCAGUGAAAGCAGUUUUCCGUUGGAUAGGAAAGAAAACUUGGAAGAGUUCCCUUUCAGUGGAUUUCCAAACCUAUCUUUCAGAAUAGAGUAUAUACUCUAUGAAUAUUCAUAAAGGGCUUUAGCCCCGCGAAACAGGGUUCCAAACAGGGGGAAAGCCUCUACUAAGACUAAUACCACAUACCUAAUACCCUAAUACUAAGGUUUUCACCACUACUUUUGCAGUUGACCCGGAGAAAGGAGACUCUCAAAACGAAAGCUAAGACAGGCAUCUCACACACUAAGCCAAAAAGGCUCUGAGACUGCUACUUAAGGGCCUUCUCCUGGGCAUUCUCUUAAGCUUAAAAGCUAAUUCACCGCUUAGCCCCCGAACUUCUUAACUGGCCUAAAAAGGCCUGGAAAUGGCCAUAGGAAGAACACAUUCAUUUGGCAGUGGGGCGGAGAAGAGAGAUCUUUUCUCUUAUUGAUUUAGGGUAAAUCCCUUGUUUAAGGCCUCGAGACUGAGUACGGAAAUGCGCCAGGGCGGGCGUGAGAGAAAGAGUGAUGAUAAGGACAUCUAGUCUAAGUGCUUAUGCUUCUGCCAAAAGGUCCAUACCCUUGAAUCUAAUCUUUCUCGAUCGAAGGCUUUAGCAUUCCAAUCGAAGAAGCGAUGGCACCUCCGCUUGACCGAACAAGUCAAGUCCGUUACUCACAGUAUCUUCAUUGACUGGAAUCGCUUUUUACGCUUGCCAAAUCAUUGAAUUUGAGUCGUUUUCUUAGUCCUUAGGGCAAAGUUUAGAUAGAGACUAAGUGAGUACUUCUUUGAGAAGAGCAGUGGUUUAUUUAAAAACAAAUCUUUCACGACAACCUCUUAUGCGAUAUCGGUUAUCGCAAUAUCCGCUGCAGCCUCUCUGUCGCAUAAUCGGCUGUUACCCCAAAAGGAAAAGAAUCCAGAAAAGAGAGAUAGGAAAGAAUCAAAAAGCUUGGAAGGAUGUAAGGCUAGCACCGAAUCGAAGGCAGGUAUAAGGAAAGGAAUCCAAUUGGUCAAACCCACAGGAAGACGAAGACAAAAGCACUCGAUCGACUCGCUAUAGGGAAGUAGCAAGGAUCCUAUAAAUUACUUCUACGCUGGCAGGAACCAUCUUCAAUCAUCUGGCCCGACAUCAAGAAUUGAACUAUCUGGAAAAAAGGAUUACCUUUGCCCUAGGCUAUUGACCUUUUUUACCUUUGGAUGAUGGAUUGCAAAGGAGCAGAGAUUCGUUAGAGCGCGAAGAGAGAGCGAAGAAGCUAACGGAUUAAGACGGAAUAAGAAAUGAAUUAACAAACAAUAUCAUGAAAUUCAAUUGCGCAUUUGAGAGCAUCUAUCUCAUACUUGUCGGCCUGGCGCGGAUGGCGCGUUUAAGCGAAAGAGAAAGAAGGUCAACUUGGGAAAUCCCUUCGGUAUCGGCAUCGGUAGGAUUCACAGCUGAUUAAAGACCAGCUCCUUUCCAUCCGGGCGUUGAUCCAGCUAACGAGCAACUGGUUCGUCUUUACCCACUUAGUGUACUUAGGAUUUGAGGAGUUCUUUUCAUCGUCUGUGAAUUGGUUGGGCUGUGGGCGAGGGAGAGGGGUGAUCGAGAAUAGAAGCUAGCAGCCGAUCAAUCCAACAGAGGCAAAAACUGGCUCUUUCGAAGGAGGUGGUUAUAGAAAGAGAUCAGAGUAGAGGUAGGUUGAUGGUGUAGUUUCACUCUCAAAAGGGCGGCCGUUAACGCUUGAUUAAGCCUUAGGCUAUUCGAUCGAUAUCUCCUUAAUAGAAAGAAGUUCCUGGUGCAGGUGAGGAAUAAAAAGUGGUUGGUUUGCGGAGGAAAAAGAAUCAUUCGAUUAGGCAAACCUGAAGCGAGAGAGAGCUUCUCGGUAGAGGUAGUAAAGCUAAGAGCUAGAAAGUAGCAAACCGUAAAAGCUAGCCAAAAGGCAUAUGAGGGAGGGGGUUUGCUCGGCUCCGCUCGGAGAGGGAAGGAAUCCAUUCAAUUUCCAAAAGCCAAGUAAGGAGGGCCUAGAGCAACAAACUCUCCACCAGAUGGUUCGACAACUGAUGGACGACCGGCCUACAUACGAGUCAAAAACGGAUAAUGAAGCAAGAGAGGAUUUCUUUUAUAACAUCUGAUUCUCAAGUUGAUGAUUCACCAACAGAUAUCCUGAUGAAACAUCAGAUAUGGGGUAUAUGCUACUGGAGAGUAAGCAAUAGCUCGAGCUAUCGCUUAGGAAUUUGUGCUUGCCUUUGUCGGCCCUCCGGGGAUGGGAAGGGAGUUUUUGGAAGACGGAAUCUUACUUAUGUAAGGUGGCGCGCUGUCUGUCUCGAAAAUUGGCUAGUGCACGCAAAGAGCGCGUUGUCGCGCUAAGACGGGCUGGCUGGGAAUCCGUCUGAAGCCUAUAGUCUCACAGGGAACUGACUGGGUGUGCCAUACACAAUUUCCCUUCCGUUCUUUCUCUAAGAUUUUAAGGCCCUUCGCUUCGCCGAGCUGACCACCCCUCGUUUGUUCAUAGCUGCUCCAGGUCGGUGGAGUGUGAAUUCUUUAGUUCUUUUAGUUCUUGGGUUGCGCAAAAGCGUACUCAGCGUCCAUCUGGAGUGAAUUGUUCUGAUAGCGGAAAGGCUGCUGAGUGCGUUGGAUCUGAGGAAUUGCAUAGAUAUAGUUCCCGCCCGUCAGGACCCUGCUGACCUAGCGUUAGAGUAGAGCGAAGCUCUUUGUUCUUGGAAGUAGAAAAGAUAUCGGCUAGUACGAAGCGCAAGUAAGCUUCUAUUCUAUGUGAGUAAAGGGUGCCCUCUCUCUCUAUAAAGAAUGACCAUUAGGAGAGCAGGCAAAGCCCACCGUAUCUUCCUAUUUUUUUCCGAAAGGCUAAGAGCGGACUCUUCCUUCAAAGCGGAAAACACAUUGAAAAGACUAGCCUACGGUAAUACCGACUCUCCGGGUAAAAAACUAGAGCUAUUCAAAGCCGAGACUCUUCCUAGACUAGGGCCAAGGUAAAGGCAAAAAACGGAAGGGAGCGAAGACAAACUGACGACUGACUUGUGGUAUUCUCUCAGGGAGCGAAGCCUCGAUACCUACAGUUUAGAUGAGAUUAGAGUCGGUUCAGGAAAACCCGGAGCUGUUGGUUCGAUAGAAACUGGAGCUGUCAGCUUAUGGCGCUUCAAAAGUGGAAUCCGCGUCUUUUUCUCUUUGUUUACGGAGGGAUUAGUGGAGUGUGCUUAGGUCUUGGUCUAGAGUGCUUCCUUUCGCGCCUUGGUUAGCCGGAAGUAGAAAUGCCGGGAGUGUAGGGAAGGGUCCCUCGGGUGAGAUGGCUAACCGUGUCCUUACCUGAUAUGGUUGACUACCCAGGGCGUUGGUUGGCGCACUUGGCUGCUUCUCCCUUUGCCUGCCUUUCUUUCGGCGGAUGAAACAACGGCUUCAGAUUCGGCUUGAGAAUCGGUAUCGUUCCCUGCCUCUGCUUCCCUUGCUUGCUUGUCGGGCAUAUAGAGGUAGAGGAAGAAAAAUUUCCUUUUUCAAUCUCAAGCAUUUUUUGACGGAAUCUUACUUUUUUGAAGAAAUCGAUGAAAAAUUAGCUCAAAAGGCGGACAUAAAGGUGAAUAAAAAGGUAUUCGAUUAGUCUGCUAGCGGUAAGGCGAAAAAAGAAGGGAAGGUGCUUCUUUAACAACAAUUAUCCGAUCAAUAGCCACACCCACGCCACGCACAGAGAAGGAAGAAGGAGUUGUGCCAUCUCUAUCAGCUAGUGUUUUUGCCUUUUUUCCUGUUAUCGGGCUUACCGCUGUUAGAAAUCGAUCUAGACUAGAUGCCAAUAAGAGAACAGGACAAAGAACUGAACUUCGACGCUGGGUAAGGCAAGUGCCAUGAGAAUGAAAUAAGUGCCACGAACAACUGGGGCAUAAAAGGAGCAGCUGCUAGCCAUAAGACUUGAAUCCCAACUGUGAGGGAGGUUUGGAUAGAUAUUAAACUAGGGCUUGCACAGAAUCGGACAAGGGACUGACAUUUCUUAUCUAGAUGCCUAAAACAGAAGCAGAUAAGAUAGCGGAUUAGGCCGAAAAGGAGGAAGCGGGGAUGGCACUGGCUCUUUCUAUCUUAAGGCGGUAAGGCGCAGUCGAAACUUGAAGCGUGUGUAACCCGUUCUAAUUCUAAGAGUCAGGGGCUUAGCGCUUUGAUGGUUGACUGCCUCCGCUCGGGGCACCUAUCUUUCUUUAUAUGCCCAUUUUGCAAGAAGAAGGGCUUUCCUUAUUGAAAAGAUUCAAAAUUCUAUUCCAGAUAGGGGCAACCCUUCAAGCCUUCGCUCUUAAACAUUCUUCCAUAACACUUAUUCGCGCCUAUUCUAUCUCGAACAGAGAACGAGGAAGGCCCUUAGGGGAAUGAAAUUCCUCCUCUUAUAGCGGCUUCCUAUUAGUCUAAGUAUGACUCUUUGAGAUCUAGACCAGGCAAAGCCCUUUCCAUUCUUGUAGCAGGGCGCAGUCCUAAUUGAUUGUUUCAUCGUGUUUGAUGGAAAAACUUUAUUGAUUGCUAACCCCAAGCGAAGAGCUUAUUGUCUUCCUCGGCUGCCGAAGCCUCCUAUAAUGUCAAAUGAAAGAAAUGCUUUCCCCACUACUCCUAUUGAUAGGACGACUGCGACUUUCAAAUACAAUAAAGAUAGCUAUUUCUUUCUCCUAGUGACUACUCCGAGUAAAGACUACGGACCUUAACCCGUUAACGGGAUUUUUUACAUUACUAAAUAAAUAAAAUAUAUUCUGAAGAAAGGCUUCCUCUUCCCCUUAUUCUUUAAACCAGUCUGACUCUUCCAAUUUGUAGAGUUGGGCAGGCGAAUCAAGAUAAAUGACUAGGGGAUUUCCUGCCAGAGUUCCCUCCCUUGGGGUGUCAUCAAUGUUGGCAGAUCCGUUAAUGCUGAAGCAGAACCAUCUGCUGCCGCUGGAGUGCCUUUACCGCAAUAUAUGUUGUCAGGUAAGUGUCCUUAGUGUUAGUGGAAAGCUAGGGAUCGAAUUGAAGCGGAGAAAAAAAAAGAGAAGAGAUAGCCGGUCAGGAAAGGUAGGCUCUGCUCUCUGUUCUUCUUGAAAAUGAAAAAAGCCAAGGUCAGCUAAGAUAAAAGAGAACAGAAGGCCUAGUGAGUCUUCACCUCUCCUCUCUAUUAAUACGAAUACGUUUCUAAUAUGAUUUUAGUCGGUUGCCAUGUAUCAUGGUUUGUUUGAAGAUAGGAGAGUAGAUAAAAGCUUCUGGUUCCAUGCCAUGCAAGUCCAUAGCGUUCAAUUCUCCAUCAAUCUUCCUAUCGGGCGGCAAUAGACAAUAAAAGAAUGAAGCCUCGAUGACUUAAGCCUCUUUAAGGGCUUUUCAAGAGUCUCUUUGAAGAAGGAAAAACUCUUUUUUCAACUUCAGUCUAGUUUGCCACAAGGCAUGCAAGCGAGGCCUAUGUGGAAGAAAGCUCGACAACAACAAGCGAAUGAUCUGAUCGGGGGGGCGUACUCUACGAACUUAGUUGCUUCACAACCUGGGGGUUGGGUUCUUUCACUCAAUAGAAAGAAAAAAAAAGUGUCACACACUAUAAGGCAAUAAGAAGAUAACUUUUCAAUACAAAAAUAUAUCUCAAUACGGGUGGGAUUAUAGAAAGACUUUUGAAAUGACUUCUCUGUCGGUUACGACUAAAAGGCCUUGCAUACUCGAGAAGCUGAUUCAAUAGCAACCACUCUUACUAAUGAUAUUCUGGACUUUCCUUGUUAAGGUCCCGAGGUAAAGUAACGGCUAGGCUAUAAGUAGGCCGGUUGCUAUCCCUAUAAGGGAUGCUCGCCUAGGAAUCAGGUUCGGACCUUGCUUAGAUUCAAGAUCCAGGGAACCGAAGGGGCGUAGCGAUGCCAAAAAGCGAACUAAAACCAAAGGGGGGUACAAUCACACGUCAGGGUCCAAAAGAAUGCUAUUUUAGGACCAAGUUGAAAGAUCUAGAAGCAGGAUCAGGAUGGGACCAAUGAGUUCUCCAAUCGUUCCGUGUGAGGCCCCUCUGCUAGACUGGAGGAGCAGUUAACGAGAAGCUUAACUUACACAGAAUUGUUGAAGAGCGAGGGGAGGUGCUUUGACACCAUUUUCCACGAUUCCCACAUUGAGCUCUCUUUGCCUUACUUAUUAUGAAUCGAUAUAAAAGAGAAUCCGCCAGCUGGAAGAGGAAUAGGAUAUAGGUGAGCCCGGGGAAUAUUGUUGAAUAAAGACCCCUUCUAAAAAGCUCUUGGCCCACCCUUCACUCUGUUCACGGUUAGCCGGGAAUGAGACUGGGAGUUCGAUUUCCUUUAUGACUUUCGCCUUGCACCUUACACUAAACUGAAUCUCUUGCACGCGCGUAUAAUAAGGAAGAAUACCUUGCUGGCUAUUCCUUAUGCUUGAUAGCACAGGAAAGAGAGAUUCCGGAAUCUCUUGACUUCACAGCUACGCACCUUUCAAACAUACUUUUCUUACUCCAAGAGCGAAAAGAACAUCAUAUCAUAGGUUAUACUAUCCGGGAGUAGUAGUACUUGCUAAAGCUAAAGGUUUUCUCCCGCUAAAAACAGUCUACUAGAUAAGCCAAGUAAAGAAGUGCCAGAUACAGAUGAAAUGGUUUUCUCUCCUUUUUAGAGAAGUCAAUUCCUCCUCCCCCGAGGGGUACUUCUAUUUAAGCUUUAGAGAAUCCAGGUCCAGCGGAAGACUAAGUAAGGUACGGUAUAAAGUCCAAUCAAUCUCCUCCAACAGACAACAGAGGGCUCUGACCUGACCACAGUCAAUCAGUCUAUUGUUCUGGUUCUAUAGAGUCUAACCCUUAUAUGAGGCUACAAGGGAAGACUCCUCGUUUUUAGCCUGGUCCAGGUGUGGCAUAUCUUUCCCAUCUAGUAGCCCCGACAAGAGCAGUUACGUCUUUUCCUAAAGCCCUUACUAAACCACCAGGAACUAGUCUGGUUUGAUAUAAGCCUAGCUACCACGGAAAGCAUAGUCAGAAGAGCUGAAAAAAUAGCCAUCUUACUCUCGGACCUUACCUUAAUAAAGGAAGAACUUAAGCCUUUCUUAAAAAGAAAAAAAACCUAAGAUGAGCUAACUUGGCUUGGUGCAGGAAAUGGAAUCACAGCAAGAAAGAAGGCUAGGAGAGAUAGCAUACUUUCCUUUUUUAGGAUUUCUACCCGCAAAUGCCUUAGUCAGUAGCCUGCCUUUCGACUCGGGGUGUUCUAAGGUGCUAAAUGCAUUGUUGCAGUCGAUGCUAUUUCGUUCAAAGAUCCUAUCUUCUCUUCUUACUAGGUGAUACCUGGUUGUUCGAGGAAAUCCUUGUCGCUACUCUAAGUAGUUUCCCGAGUGUUUUGAUUUCCUAACCAAGGAUAGGCGACUCCGGAUCUGAGAUUGUACUAGACUGAGCUGCCAGAGUUGUUGCACUGGGGUAUCUAUUGGUUUAUUGUUAAAGGAUCCGCUUCCUUGUGCUCUUAUUGCAUUCUCCCAGAGAACUAGGGGGGAUUCGAUUUUAAGGUUGGUUAGAACAAGAAAAAUACCAACCAACACUAAUGGGGGUGAACCCAACAGGAGCUCGAAACCGCCGAUAAGGGCUUCACAACGAGUCCAUCGAAACGAAGCUAAUUAGAUUCUAGUAGUAGCACUGAUAGCCACUUAUGCCUUCUUAGCCGUGUCGUGAAAGUCCUUUGCUCAAGUGCUCAAGGAAAAAGGUAUCUUUUACCCCGAGGGUGUAGAGUUCUUCUCACUCGUAUUUGCUAGUGGUGAAUCAUAUCUAUAUUUAUUGAAGUUAGCCCCUAUAUUUUCAUCGUUAGCUAUAGCCCUCUCUAUCUUUGUUGGCGUAACCGCCCCUUGAUUGGGCGUAUGUAAAUGCCCGGUAGUAUGAGCUACUUCCUCUUAGAAUGAUCACUAGCAUUACCUAUUGAAGACUUUCUUUUCCCCUCUUUUAACUCGGCAGUCUGUCAGAGUUAGCGCUUCGGCUCUGAUUUCUUUCUCUUUUCUUUCUAUAUGAUAUUACUCCCCCGGGGGAUUGAGAGCCUUUAUUUCUAAAUGACUUAUCGCUCUUUUACUAGGAUAAUCCAAAAGCCUUUGUAAAGUCUGUUGGAUGUGCAAAUUACGCCUUUACUCUAGCUGCUCUUGGUGGUUGAGUAAGGGCAUUGAGCUUAGGCCUACCCCUACUCUCAAGGUAGGGUAGUUCAGUCACCCGAGGAUCACUCUCUCCAGAGCCGGGAGUGCAGCCAAUUAACAAAACCGAUUAAACAAGUCUGGAGCAGCUCAGUCCAGCUAGCUUCUUUGCCAAUUAGCUACGUUCGUUCCCCUCCCCCUUAAGUCAAAUAGGCUGGUCACGAAAUGUCUUUGUCUUAUGCCAAUGCGGCGAGUCCUGUGCCUUCGACCUUCGUGGUCGUGGUUCGUGUUGUGGUACCGGCUUAAAGAAAAGAUUAACGCUGCUCCAGCUUAAGGAAAGCAUCUCUUGGAGUUUCUCCUUUCGUGGUUGUGUGUCCUUCCAGCCUUAAAGCAAUCGGCGGUACUUCGGGUGAAGAGGUCAAAUUAAUUACUAAAGGAAUCAGGCGCUAGGGCCAGUGCGAUGCCUUCUAUAUAUAAUGAAUAUCCCUGUCCAAGUGGAAGCAUGAGGGUGGUCCAGGUAAAAGCUUUGAUCCAUGGGCUAGCUAAAGGCCAGCCAAACAAAAGUCAAAGACGUACUCGUAGGUCUCCUUGAUGAGCGAACAAGCACAAGGCCUAAUAUGAACUUGGAGCUGCAAAAUCCCAAACAAAAGUAGUUCUCCACUCAUCCUUUCUUCCACUUCUUCAUUCCCUUUAAAAUAUCCUUCUCCUGCCACUGACUUGAGCUCUCCUCCUGGUCAUAGUGGCUCGGGUCCAACAGAACGGUAUGAAUAUGAGAGAAAAGUCUCCUAUAUAUCUUACUGGACUAAACCAAGACUUAUACUUAUAGGCCUUUUCAGUAAUUCCUGCCAUCCACACCGAGCCGUAUCAGAUUGAUAUACGCCAAGGCAAAUACGUAACGGCACAAAGUCAAUCUGAUUGGCUGCCCGUCACCCUAUUGUAAUGGGGUAGUUCAUUUUGGUUCGAAUGAAUCCGAAACUCAAGUCAAGGCAUCGAAUAUGAAUUUAUGUCCAUUUUACCCAGUGGAAACUCUAGAACAAAAUCCUACCACAGUAGAUCUCGCUUCUCCGGGCGGGGAACUUCUAUUGUUAUGUUAGAAGGGUUGCCCCAAGCGCCUUUAGGGACCUAGUACGCACGACUUGCCGUUAUUGAGCGAGAUGCCCCGACCGUCGUAGCUUCAGAUUGCCAACCUAACUUGAGCCCUUAGACAGUAAAAAUGCGCUGCCCCACCGAGGCUUCUUCAGUGGAUUCGACAGAUUGGGAUUGCACUUCCACUUCCACUGUCCCAACUACUGGUGUCAAUUGUCCAACCACUGACACAGGCUCAUUAGAAGUAGAUCUUCCUCAUCGAUCCCCUCUUCUGCCCUUACCUGAUGAGUGAGGCCUUCCCGCAGGAACCAUCACAAGGCAAGGAACCCGAUCCCGUCUCUUCAAUCGGAAAGCUCUACGACUCGAGAAAUCCCCUCAUCACGGGAUCCUAUGUAACUACACCCUUAGCUGGUUUAUCUCUAUGGUCCAUGGAAACAGGUCUCCUCUUGUCAUCCCGGAAAGAAUCUCUGCUCUGCUUGUUCACUCCCGAUACGCCUAAGCCGAAGAUUGGAAUACGGAUGAGAUCAGAAAAGCCAUCCUUUUUGAAACUCAGUUUUCGUUGUCUAAUAUUGGGAGUUGCGCUGUGGUUGGGGGAAAUUCCCGCAUUUGUAAUUGAUUUAUUGCGGUGGGGGUGGCUAGACCAAAAUUGGGUGCCGGUCAUGACGAAGGCACUGGGGCUUUUGAACGCACUAAAGCAUGGUAUGGAUGUGCCUGCAACUGAUGGCACAAUCGGGGGAAUUCCGAUUAUAAACUUAGUUAACCAGGCUGCACUGGAAGUGGUUGUACCUACCCCCGAUCCCGCGGGCAUAACUUCUUACGACGCAAGAAAGUCAACUCUUGUGCUAUUAUUAUAUGCCUUAGUCUUUGGUUUCAUGGGCGCCCCAUUCUUUCAGCUAGCGCUGCUGCCGGCACCCGGUUAGUUAUCUUUUCCGACAAGUCUUUCUUGCAUUUUUAGAGCAAGAAGCGGAACUAUAGAGAUGAAAUGAAAAUUCUUACGAUUACGCCCAACAGCCCACUUGAGCAAUUUGCCAUUCUCCCAUUGAUUCCUAUGAAUAUAGGACACUUGUAUUUCUCAUUCACAAAUCCAUCUUUGUUUAUGCUACUAACUCUCAGUUUGGUCCUACUUUUGGUUCAUUUUGUUACUAAAAACGGAGGAGGAAACUCAGUACCAAAUGCUUGGCAAUCCUUGGUAGAGCUUAUUUAUGAUUUCGUGCCGAACCCGGUAAACGAACAAAUAGGUGGUCUUUCCGGAAAUGUUAAACAAAAGUUUUCCCCUCGCAUCUCGGUCACUUUUACUUUUUCGUUAUUUCGUAAUCCCCAGGGUAUGAUACCUUAUAGCUUCACAGUUACAAGUCAUUUUCUCAUUACUUUGGGCCUCUCAUUUUCCAUUUUUAUUGGCAUUACUAUAGUGGGAUUUCAAAGAAAUGGGCUUCAUUUUUUAAGCUUUUCAUUACCCGCAGGAGUCCCACUGCCGUUAGCACCCUUUUUAGUACUCCUUGAGCUAAUCCCUCAUUGUUUUCNNNN
rnacentral:lncRNA from 1 species